GGUAUUCUAGUCAUUUUAGCUUUUUUCCUUAUGCUAUUACACCUCUAUUACAUUCAAUCAAACACAAGAAUAUCAUUACGCCUCUAUUCCAUUCCAUUCAACCAAACAAAAGAAUUACCUAUUACGCCUCUAUUCCAUUACGCAUCUAUUCCAUUAAGCAUCUAUUCCAUUACACCUCUAUUCCAAUACAGCGAACCAAACGUGCUGUUAGACUUUAGUUUUAUUUUUAUUGGGUUGGUAAUUGGGUAGACUUUAAUUUUAGUUUUAUUGAGUUGGGUAAUUGGGUAGACUUUAGUUUUAGUUUUAUUGGGUUGGGUGUAGUAACCAAUUUUGCCUAGGCCCAAUCUAAAACCCAAAAUAAAUAAACCAUCUACAUUUUUUAAACCCAAUUACAAUACAACCCAAUAAGGCCCAAAACUAGUAACCCACUAAACCUAGCCCACACAAAAACAAAAUAACAGAAACCCUAGGAGCCUAUUUGCUUUAGCACCGCCGCAGCUCACCCUUGCACGCCGCCGCAAAUCUCGCUCCACGCGCGCCUCGCCUUGUACCUGCAGCAACACACACAAACAGAAGGGCAAAAAUCGGGCCAACAAACAACAGAACAGAUUUAUUUAGAUUUUUCUUUUUCUUUUUCUUUUUCUCUUUUCUAUUUUGGCUAUAAAAGGCCGAUUUCAAGUACUGUAAAAGGGGGGAUUUUGGAGUGUUAAAAAAUAUAAAAAUAGAGAGAAAAUACUGAGAUUACAAAGGUUUUUUUUCGAAGGUGAAUCGUGUUUAUUUUUUUCAUUUUUCCAUUCUUUUUUAUUUUUUAUUUAUUUUUAAUUUAAAAUAUAAAGAAGGGAGGAAAGACUUACCUCUCUCGUCGGAUUCGUCGAGUCGGCGCCAUCUCCGUCGCAAUCGGAGCCUUGACGCGAGGCUGAGCAGCAGCGUAUGAGGGUUGAGGAAACCCUAAAAGGGUCUGGUUUCUCCUCUGGAAAAGGAAACCAAAAGAACAAAUUGUUCUUUUGUUUAAUUUUCUUUUUUCCUUUAAAACCUAAAAGAUGGACAAAGCAUGCGCCGUUUGGUUUUUGGGGUGGGGUCCGCGCAUAUCAACCUUAAAUGGGAGAUUUUCGCUACUAGUCCCUCCUUUUUGCGACGCGUUUUAAUCAAGUUCAUUUUUUUAAUUUGGCCCGAAUAUUUUGCCCGUGUUACGAUUUAGUCCAAUUCUGCUCAGCGUUUAGGAAGGGCGGGAUUAAUUCCCUUUUUGACCCUUCAGAUUAUGUGCCUUUUGCAAAUAUGUCAUUUAUUUUAGUUUGCUUUCGAUUUUUUUCAAUUUUGUUUUGUUCUCAACUUGAUCCUUUGCAUUUGUUUUUCUAAUUAAAUUUAAUAUUAGUUUGCUAUUAUUAUUAUUAUUUGUUAUUAUUAUUAAUCUUGUAAUCAUUAUUUUCAUAUACAUACAAACAUUUCAUUUUUAUAAUAUAUAUACUUUUAUAUUUUUAAUUUCAAAAUUUUUUUUACUUUUGUAAAUAUGUACAUACGUAUACUUCUAUAUAUGUUUUUUUUAUAUUAUUCUUCAUAAUUUAAUUUUUUUCAUAAAUAUAGAUAUAAAUAUACAUACACAUUUUAAUUCAUAUGUACUUCCCAUAUUGUAUUCAUUUUCUAUAGCAUAUAUAUAUAUUUUAUAUCUUUUAAUUAUUAUAAACAUUUUUUAUUGUCAUAUAUACUCCGUUAUUUAUACAUGUUGUACAUAUAUAUAUAAGUAUUUAAAUGUAUACAUAUUUUCAUUAUUUACCUAUGUAUAUAUACUUAUACAUUUUUGUAUUUUGUAAAUACAUACACAUGUACAUACUUUUAUAUUUUUUUUUCACGAUUUUCAAAUACAUACAUGCAUUUUCUAUUAGUUUUUGAUUGAUAUAUUCCAUUCUAUCUUUUUAUAUGUAUCCUUGUAUAUGUGUGUUAAAUAAAUGUGUACACAUAUUUACAAAUUUACUUGUAUAUUGUACUUGUAUAUAUAUUUUGUAAAUAUUUAUUCACAUAUGUUUUAAAUUAAAGUUUUUGUUUCAUAUUGUACAUUAACUUUUUAACGUACCUUUUGGGAAAUAUAUUUUGGUUUUGUCAAAGCAUUAAAAUCAUCAUAUUUUUACAAAUUUCCAAAAUAUUUGGCAUUCAUGAUUCUCGAGAAAGAUCGUGUCCUAACUUACUUGAUUGCGAUUAAUUUUCGAUGAAUUUAGAAAGCCAAGUAUUUGUUUGCAAUAAAUUCACAAAUUUCAAAGAAAAGCUUAUUCUCGGAAAUUAAAAAAUGUUGGGUCCUAACUUACUGGUCAUGACAUUUUAUUAUCUCGAAAUAAGAAUUUCUAAAGCAAAAGGCAAUAUUCGGUAUUUUGAAGAUUUAAAAAUAUUGUGCCAUAACUCACUGGGUGUGGUGUUUCAUUUCUUUAAAAUAAGAAUAUUUUAUUAUUUUAAUUCAUUCACGAGUUUAAAAUUUUCUUUUAAAAUCUUUUCAAAUUUUCGACACCAAGACAUUAAAUAAUCAAUUUGGUACCGAUUUUGAGCGUUACGAUGGUGCUAACCCUUCCUCCUGCGUAACUGACUCCCGAACCUAUUUUCUCAAAUUUCGUAGACCAAAAUUGUUUUUAAGGUGAGCCGAUCACACCUCAAUUAAGGAUCGGUGGCGACUCCAGUUUUGUUUUUAAAGUUGACAACUAAAAUUUUGCUUUCAAAAAACAGUUUCAACAUUGGGUAAUUGGGUUGGGUUGGUAAUUGGGUUGGGUAAUUGGAUUGGGUUGGAUAAUUUUAUUUAUUAAUUUUUCGGUUAACCGAAAAAAUUCGGUUAACCGACCGGUUUCGAACCGAAUUAACCGUUAACUGAAAAAUUAUAAAAAAAUUAACCGACCCCCAACCGAAAAAUUUGGUUAACCGUCCGAUUAACCGAAUUCGGUCGGUUAACCGAAUUUUUUCGGUUUUACCCGAAUUAUGCACACCUCUAAUUGGGAUAGAUAACGAUUAGCCCAAAUAUUAACUUUAGUAUGCAUCCUGUCACAGAGAUAGGAUAGAGCUUCUUUUUUACUUCUUCUAACCAGUGUUGGAAGCCCCAAAUAUCGUUCCACAUUAAAAGAUCGUCUCAUGUCCAACUGAUUAAUUAUUCGAUUACAAAGUCCUUCCUCUACAUUUGUACAAAAGAAAAUGACGGAUUUCUCAAAAUUUACUUGUUGACCAGAAGCCCUUUUGUAUUUCUCGAGAAUAUUUUUAAUCACCUGACUCCCUCUUUCCGUUGCCUCACCAAAAACAAUGCUAUCGUCUGCGAAGAAAUGGUGCGUCAUCGAAGGGCUACCUCGACAAACCUUUGCACCCGCCAGUAUAUCAUCCCUUUUGGCUAACUUCAAUAAUGUCGAAAAACCCUCCGUGCAGAUAAAAAAUAAGUACACUCUAAUGGGAUCUCCUUAACGUAAACCUCUGUUAAGAUAGAGGAUCUCACUUAUUCCAUCAUUAACCAUAACGGAAUAAGACACAGAGGAAAUACUGUGCAUUAUUAGUUCAACCCAUCUAGCAUCAAAUUCCAUUCUAAGCAUCAUACAUUCAAUAAAGCCCCACUCGACCCUAUCGUAGGCUUUGCUCAUAUCGAGCUUCAAUGCAAAUGAGCCUUUCUUCCCCAACCUCUUCUUCUUUAGCGUAUGCAUUAAUUCGUAUGCCACCAAGACGUUAUCAGAAAUUAGACGCCUCGGCACAAAAGCUCCUUGAGCUUCAUCGAUACAGUCCUCCAAAACUAUUCUGAGUCGGUUAGCCAAAACCUUCGAAAUAACUUUGUACAAGACAGAGCACAAACUAAUAGGAUGGCAUGACGACAUUGAGUUCGCCGCACUAGUUUUUGGGAUUAAAACUAUCUUGGUGAAAUUCACCACUUCCAAUGGUAACUCUCUGUUUAGAGCUUUGAGAUAGAAAUGAGUAACAUCUUUACCAAUUAAGUACCAGAAACACUGUUAAAAAAUUACUGGGAAGCCGUCAUAUCCCAGCGCCUUGGUCAACCCCAUUUCCUUCACAGUAGUUUUAAUUUAUUCUUCUUUAAACUCUGCCAGUAAAUAACUAUUCAUAUUCUGAUUCAGUAAAUAACUAUUCAUAUUCUGAUUCAUUUUAGAGUCAACCCCUUCAUAAAUCUCAUCAGCACUGAUAUUCCCUGAACCGGAAAAAAUAUUCUUAAAAUAUCGAAUCGUGAUUUCUACUUUUUCAUCCUCCUUCUCCCUUAUAAUCCCAUCACCAUAUCGCAAUCCCUUGAUACUGUUCACUUUACACCUAUAAUUAGCAUAAGAAUGAAAAAAUUUAGUGUUACGAUCACCAUACCUUAACCAAUUAGCUCUAGAUCAUUGCUCCCAGUGUAGCUCCUCCUUGUCAAUCUCUAGAUUCAAUGCCAAUUUGGCUUCUACAAUUUCCUCAAGAACGUCAUCAUUCACAUCUGUAAUAUACAACUCUUAUAAACGCCUUUUGAUACGAUUAAUAAACUGAGUAUUCUCCUUUUUCCAGUUGAAAGCCCAUUUCAUCAAGCCCUUUCCAAUUAGCAACAAACGUUCUGGGAUACUUAAAUGGUUUGAUUCAUGCCACAAAUUUGAAACCAUAUCCUCACAAGAUUCCUCGAAUAGCCACACCGUUUCAAAUUUAAAAGUUGAAACUGUAGCAGCCUUUUUAUCCUUUCAAUCAAUAGCAAAAGUAUUCAACAGCAGUGGGUAAUGAUCCGAACAGAAACUAUUCAGAUGUGAAAUAACAUAGUUGGGAAAAAUGUCAUACCAAUUGUCAUUAGCGACUCCUCUGUCCAACUGCUCAUGUAUAUUAUUGAAAGAAAAGUUCCCCCUUUCCCAUGUGUACCACUUACCUUUAAAGCCCAUAUAAGUUAGACCACAUGGCUCCAACGCAUCUCGAAAAUCCGUCAUGGGUCAUUCCUCUUAUGCCUCCCUCCUUGCUUCUCUUGAUUGGAUACAAUCUCAUUGAAUUCGCCCAUAACCACCCAAGGGCUAUCAAAAUUUUGACAAAGUUACUUCAAUAAGUCCCACGAUUCAGCUCUCCUUCUUCCUUCCAGGCUCCGUAAAAACCAGUGAAGCUAAGACCGCUUCUAGUUCCAACAGAAGGGACAUCAAUUCCAUUACCAUAACCAAACUUACGUCUUAUUUUCUCCAUUUUCCUAGCAUCCAAUUUAGUUUCAAAGAGGAAAAUAACAUGGGGACGAUUUUCCUUUAGCCAGUACUGAAUUUUACGAACGAACCGUGGAUUCCCCAGCCCACAGACGUUCCAACAAAGUAGUUUCAUAAUGUUCGGCUAACCUGCCCUGCAGGUUCAAUCGUUGAGAAAGUCAAACCAUUCUCGUUUUCCAACCCUGUCGAAUUGUUCAAAUCAGGACUUCUCAUCCCAUUUCCCUCAUCGAAAAGCCUAGCCCUUUUUUUUUUCCAUCUAACACGUUCAUGGGUCUUUCCUUAUUCAGAUAGCUCCCAUUCAUCACAUCAACUAAUUCCUCAUCUAUACAUGGAAGUUUUAACUUUCCUGUAAGAUUUAUACCCAGAUUUUUUGCUAGCAUGUCUCAUAAAAUCUGCAUAAUUAGCAUUCAAAUCUGAUUUGCCCUUAUCCACAUUUGAAUCACCAAAAUGACCUCCCCAACUUCCUCUUAGUUCCUGUAGCCAGACACUGCCGCCAAUCACCGGCUUCCUUGCUACCGCCUUAAGGGAAAUAUCCUACCCUAGAGGCAACUCCUUCCUUUCACCAUGUGAAUGGGGCAAAAACUUUCUCCAUGACCAAAUCUCCCACAUAAGAAGCAAAUUGCCGUUAGUUUUUCAUACUUAUAAAUGGAAAAUAUUUCUUUUGUCUUUCCAAUGAUAAGUUUUUCUUACGCUUCAGAGGAUUCCUGAUAUCCACCAUUACCCAGAUUCAUAUGAAAUUUCUCAGACCCACAGCCACAGACUUCGCAUCAUACUCCACAAAAUCACCAAUAAAAUCACCAAAUUAUUUUGCCAUUGAUUCCGAAUACAUACCACUGGGGAGAUUGUAAAUUUGCACCCAAAACCCUACUUUCAGUAGUGGAAUCUCAAGAGGAUCCAUACCAUUCGAUAGAACUGCAAAUACUAUGGUGACCCCUUCACAAUUCUUGUUUUAUCGGCUUCACAAUAGAAACGGAAGAGAAAUCUUUUUCCCCAAAUAUCAGUAAUAGUAACACCACCAAGAGGGUGCCAUAGAUUAAACAACAUCAUCUUCAUUGAUUGAAAGUUUUACUGUAGUAGCCAUGAGAAAGCGUCCCACCAAACACAGACGCUUCCAUCAUUCACUUAGAUACUCACAAUUGAAAAAAAAAUUCUAACACUUGAAGGAAAAGACAAAAAAAAUGCUACCGAAGAGAAUGCUGUUAAGUUUUAAUAUACCUAUUUUUUAUUUUAUGUAUGCAAUAAAUCUAUUUUUACUUUUAUAUACAUUAAAGGUUUGGAACGAAAAGUCUAUUUUAACCUUAUUUAUUUCAAUAACCCUAUUUAUUUUCAUUAUACUCCCAAAAGCAAGCUUUACAUAUUACACUUUAUUUUUCUUUUGGCAAUAAUAUUAUUUUUGUUAUCUAUCCAGUAGAGGCUACAUUAAAGAAGGUAAACAGGGGUUUUCAUCUUCGUUUCAGUUUUUCUAAAAUUUAAAAAGUGGUAAAAUUGUGAUUUAAUAUUUCUAAAAAGACAAAAUAAUAAAUUUAUUAAUUGAUGUUUAUAUUUUUUUUUGUCAAUUUGGUCAUUAUUCCCUUUUUUUUUAGUUAAAUUUAACCCUCAAUAUUUUAAAAGGAGUUGAAUUUGACCGUAAAUCUUUCAAAAAGAGUCAAAUUGUAGAAUUUUAACAGAAGUAUUGAAUAAAACAUUAAAUUUAAACAUGGCAGCCCACGUAACAAUAUAUGCAUAUAUCAUGCUAAUUUUACUUAACUUUUUUUUUAUAAUUUUUUGGAAUUUUAAAAUUUUAUUUUUGGGUAUUUUUAUAAUUUUUAAAUUAUUUAUUGAUGUGAUACAAGAUAAAUAAUGCCAUGUUAUUAUGAAGUAUAAGUUACCACGCCAACAUUACUAAAAAAUUAAUAUUUUUCUCAACAUUUUCUUUAAAUAUAUUAUUUGACUCUUUUUAAAAAAGUUAAUGAUUAAAUUUAGCUCAAAAAAAUAAAAUGUUAAAUUAAAAAAAGAUGUAAACGUUAAGGACUAAAAUUAUUAUUACGUCUUUUAAAAAUUCUAAAAUGUUAACUUAUAAUGACAAAAGUUUACUUUUUGACUUUCAUUAAAAUCUUUAAUAUAAUUUCAACUCCUCAAAAAAAUUUCUUAACUUUAGGAUAGAAUAUUUUUUUUAAAAAAGUCUUAAAGGUGCAAAAGCCCUCAAAUUUUUUUAAAAAAAGUAAUUAAGCUCCUGCUUUUUUUUCACUCGUUUGGGUACUUGAACUUUUAAAAUGCAUCAAAAAGGCCCUCAAACCUUUUCAAAAAAAGCAAUUAAUCCCCUACUUUUUUUUUGCACUUAAUUGGGUACUUAAACUUUCAAAAUGCCUCAAAAAGACCCUCAAACUUUAAAAAAUAAUUAAACCCCUACUUUUAUUAAAAAUUAUAAAAAAUUAAAAUCAAUAAAAACUAUAAAUAUUAUUAAAUUUUAAUAAAAAAAUUCAAAUAUUAAAAAGUUAUUAAAAAUUAGAAAAAAAAUUAUAAAAAUCAUAAAAAUAUAUAUAAAAAUUGUAAAAUUUUAUAAAAAUUGCAAAAAAUUUAUAAAAUAUAUAGAAAUAAAAAAUUUAUAAAAUUUUAUAAAGUCAUAAGAAAAUUAUACAAAAUGUAAAGAAAUAUAAAUUUCGUAAAAAAAAUUUAUAAAAAUUAUUGUACCAAAAGAAGCAUUUUAUAAUUUUUCUAUAACUUUUAUUGUUUUUAUUUUUUUUAUCAUCUUUCGCCACAUGUCUCGUUGUGUUGCGACACGUGAUAACUUUAAUUUAAAAAAACUAGGGGUCGUUAGGUUUUUUUAUGAUUUUUAUAAAUUUUACAAUUUUUAAUUUUUUUACAAUUGUUAUAAAAAAUUAUAAUUUUUAAUAAUUUUUAUAUUUUUAUAUUUUAUUAAAAUUUAAUAUUUUUAUAAUUUUUUUCUAAUUUUUAAUAAGAGCAGAGGCUUAAUUACUUUUUUGAAAAAUGUUAAGGGUCUUUCUGAUACAUUUUGAAAGUUCAAGUACCUAAUUGAGUGAAAAAAAAAGAAGGGGCUUAAUUGCUUUUUUUGAAGAAGUUUGAGGGCCUUUUUGAUGAAUUUUGAAAAUUCAAGUGUUCAAUUGAGUGAAAAAAAAAGGGGGCUUAAUUGUGUUUUUUUUUAAUUUGAGAGCUUUUUACACCCUUAAAUUUAAAAAAAAAACUAUUAUAGUUUGUUAGUGCAAUUAUGUGAGAAAAUAGUUCAUCCAAAGCCACAAGCAAUGUCCACAACACCUAGCACUGUGACAACAACAUAACUUACUAUAUUAGUUGUUGGUAAUAUUUUGAAACGAAAUUAUUGGGUUGAAAUUCUUGUUGAUGUUGUAGAAGUAUGAUAGCCUAUUUAUGAAAAACAAUCUUUUGAUGCAACAUAUCUUAAAUAUUAGAUCGAAUCGGAUCCCAUAAAAUAAGGAGAUUAGAUCAUGAUUGCAUUGAAUGCUUACCUCCAACAUUCUUACAUUAUCUUGGACUUUAUUAAUAUAUUGUGUAUGCUAUUUUAGCUGCAUGUUUUUUUAGAAAAAUUGAUUUUAAUUUAUUUGUAUGUUAGAAAGUCUCGAACACUUGUAUAGUUUGAGGAGACUUGUAUAGGUUUUAUAUCGAGAGUGCUACCAUUUAUUUGCUCAUUGAGGAACUUAUUUUAAUGAGUGCAUUGUUAGAGUAAACAAAUGUGUUACUUGGCUUACCAAUUAAAUUUUCAAGGGAAAAACUUGAAGAUGAGUGAUUUAGAUGUUUAAGUAUAAAUCGGGAUGUGUUAGAACUUAGAAUAUUUGUUAUACAACGUUGAAAAAUAAUGAAUUAUCUCAUUGAGCUAGGCUUUGUAAAUAUAAAGAAACCGAACUGCAUAAAUAAUUUAGUUGUGUUGUUUUGUAUUCUUGGCGCAUUGUCACCUCCAAUGAACACCGUUAAUUGCACUCCUCUUAGCGUUGUUGGUUUUGCAUUGCAAUUAUCGACUGAGUUUUCAACAUAAUUUACAUUAUUAUCACAUUUAAUUACUUUUUUGCUUAUUAUCAUCCUUUGUUUUUCAAGCACUUUUUUCUAAUAUUCAAAAUUAUACUGAGUAAUAUAAAUAUAAUUAAAGAGGUAGAAGUAGAAUAGCAAUCGUUAUAUUAUCCUUUGGAUUGCAUUUUGAUUUCUCUAUUAAAAAAAAUAAAUUGGUCCAUGUACAUUAGACGAAUGAGUAAAAUAGUCUAUUUGUUAAAAUUCUGUCAUUAAAUGCUUAUUCUGGUGUUUUAUAUAUAAGAUAAAUAAUAACAAAUUUAUCCCUCGACCAUUACACAUUUAUUCAAUUUGAUCCCUGAAUAACUCCAAAAAUUGAGACACUAAUAAUCAAUCUAAUUUGGGUUUUUUCUAUAACAGAUGUAAGAAAAUAUAAUAUCGUAUAUAGUAUUAAUAUGUCAGUAACAAUAAUAAUGCAAUACAAUGCAAUAGCAGUAACACAACAGAAUAUUUGUAAUAAGAUAGAGUUGAAAAUUAGAAGAAGAAUUUUGUUGAGGCCUAUAUGAACAGUUUCCUUAAGACAGAUUCGACAUCUCCUCGGUGCUUUGAGUAACGUUAGACGUCUGUCUCUCAAGAUACAACAACAAAUGAUCAUAGUAGUAACACAACAACAGUGAUCAAUCGAACACAAUCUUGCCUUUUUCUAUCACUAGGAGGAAUGAAUUUAGAAGGAAUUUUUGAUGUUGAUGUGUUUUGGAAGUCUCUAACUUGGCUUUAUAUAGAUGAGAGGAAAUGAAUGAAGAGAUUUAGACAUAUUCAUGAAGAUUUCUUUGAAAAGUUAAUAGAUAUAAGUGAACAGACACAAUGAAUGAAAAGAUGUAAUAUUAAACCAAAAGUAAUGAAUCUAUUCACCAAAAGAUAUAAUUGUUCAUCAAGAGAUAGAACUAUUGUUUAAUUUGAGUAUCAAUUUAUCAUUUAUCAGUCAACAAUUUUGAGCGUAUUAUAUAGAAUAUAAAUCCAUAAUUUAUUAUUCAAAGCUUCAAUUUUAUAAAUAAAAUAGUAUACCUUAAAGUUGCAAAAUAUCCAUUAUUUUCCAACAAUAGGUAAAUUAUCUUCUUCUAACGAUAAUGACUUAAAUCUUUCUAUAGUUAAAGUAUUAAAAAAAAAAUCAAUGGCAUCCCGAUUUCUACCUGAGUACUGCGGGAAACAAUGUCAUGCAAUUGUCUAGGCUAAUGUCCACCACAUGAUAUGAAACUUACGUUCCAUCAGAAACGAAAUUAUCCAUACAUUUUCUACCGAAGGCAUAUCUAUAGGUAUUGAAUAAAAGUGUAAAGUUUGAGAUUAUGUUGUAUAUAUAAAACAUUAAAAUAAGUAUUUAACGGUAUAAUUUUAUUGGAUGGGAUUAUUUUGCUCCGUCAUCAAUUUACUAUAUUUCCAAUAGAAGAAUCAAAAUAUAAUUUGAAGUAUAGUAGAGGGACUGCUAUAGUACUUUUACCCAUAUAAACGAUUUUGUACUUUAAAUGUCCACCGUCUGGCUUCCAGGAACUAGGUAUAUAGUUGAAAAAACCAAUGAUUUGACACUAGGCAAUACAAAUGCCAUAUAUAAAUUAAAUAAAAAUUUUAAAAUAAUUGGCAUGUUUUAAAAUUUUAUACCAGCUUAUAAAUAUCAUGAAAGAUGAUAUAUACAGAUGAUUUUAUUUUAUUUAAUCUCCAUUUCACCAUCGUUUACUCUGUUUAAAUUCCGCACUCUGGCUUCCAGGAACCAGGUAUGUAGUUGAAAAAAAAAAGGAUUAUUUAUGGGAUAUGAAUGAUUUGACGCAAGGCAAAAUAUAUGCCAGACAUAUAUCUAUAUCUAUGGUUGACUAUACUAUAAAAAAAAAUUUAAGAAUUGACUCAGUAGGACAAAAAUGAAACUGAAAUAAUAAAAUAGUAAGCCAAUCAGAUAAUGUAAAGGAUGGAAAAUUAGAAAAGUUCUACAGUGACAAAUGAAGUUUCAUGUAAAGUUCUGGGUUGCUCAAGGAUUCUUCUUUUAUUAGGUAAAGAACUGGAGUAUUGACAUGAACCCAUAGUGUGCCUUAAUGAUGAAGAUGGAUUUGUCUCAUUCAUGGCUUAGUGAUAAUUAACCCAACAUGAUUAAGCCUUGGAUUUUGUCCUGCGUUGCAUGCACUGUAUGAAAGUCAAGAAAAAAUGGGUCUUACCUCUUAGGUUCAGAUUAUAGCAAUGCAUAGUUUUCCUUCCAAUGGGUUCAUAUAUAUACAUAUAUAUGUAUAAAAAAACCAUGAUAAUGUUUUAUGAUAGUUGGGGCCUUAAUCACUUUUGACUUGUCUUCAGCCACAACGUUGUGAAAGGAUUGGUCUAAGCACGAGACUGGUGAAAAUAAAGAAAAGAACAGCUAAAUUUUCACACAAAACAAAGCAAUGAAGUCUUCGACUUCUCAAGUCAUCAAUGGGGGAACCCCCACUUCCUUUUAGCUUCUUAAUGGAAAAAACCUGGGACCCAAACAUCUUUAAUAUCAAGCAUUGGAGCAGUGAAGCUUCCAGCAAUUCCACAGGAAGGUGAUGGAGAAACCACCUUGCUGAUAGUUAAGCUUAAUAUCAUAUAUAUGUACGUUGCCAUCAUCCAUACGGUAGAGAGUGGUCUUUUUAGUUUCAAUAUCUAAAUGUCUAGCAGCAAUUUUAAUCCGCCCGACUCGCCGGAAAGUGACCGUGCCGACCAAUCCAAUUUUGAGUUCCCCGAGGACUGGACUCUUGAUGGUUGGCUGGAGGAUUAUCCUGAAACUAUCAUCACAGGGCCAAUUCAGUUUCCUUUUAAUCAAGCCGAUGAAGUUAAUAAUGACUCUGCUAGGACUAGCAGCCUCCUUCAAGUAUCUGGUAAUGAAAUUACUGUUUUUAACUUGUUGAAGUUCCUACAUUAGUAUGUGGUUGAUUGAGUGAGGAUCAUCACUUUGUUUGUGUUAAUGGCAGAAAAUGAAACUGCGAGGGAAAGGAGGGACGUCAGAGAAAGAUUUGCAUUCUAGACCAAGUCUGAGGUUGAGAUACUGGAUGAUGGAUACAGAUGGAGGAAAUAUGGGAAGAAAUGGGUGAAGAAUAGCCCAAAUCCAAGGUAUUUUUUAUCCAAUGCUUGUACGGUUUUUAAUCUUUAUACAAUUUGAGCAUUGCAGCCUGGAAUCAUCAUCUGCUACUAAGCUAAGAGCAGAUAUAUUUUGAUUAGUCUUUCAAAAACCAGUUUCAUUUCUUAUUGUUUGAUUGAUAGGAACUACUACAGAUGUUCUAUUGACGGAUGCCCCGUGAAGAAAAGAGUCGAAAGAGAUAAAGAGGAUCCGAGUUAUGUAAUUACAACUUACGAGGGGAUCCAUAAUCACCGUAGCGUUUCUUGAAUCGGUGGUUAAUUUUCUCAGGACGUUCGAGUUCUUUUACCGUUACUAUCUCGCAGCCAACUCCUGCAGAUGGCCAACUUCGAUCUGCAAUGAUCACAUCGUCUGUGUAGAAUAUCAAAAAAGUCUCACUCCAUUUUAUCCAUGUCGGUAUCUGUAAGAAAAUCCAAGAACCAGACUACAUGGGGUUUGGCCAACUUUAUCUUGUUAUCGCUUGUUAAGCUUUAGUAGAACCCUAAGCUUUAGUUUUGACAACACAAAGUCAGGGUCUGUUUUUAACUUUGGAGGAUAGGUGGAGAUUGUUAGGAUCGGUUCUUCGAACAUUCGAUAUGAUAUUGCCAACUGCAACCGAAAUCAUCAAUAAAAUUUGUAGACUUUUGGUAAGCCAUGUGAUAGCAGCAUGAAGAAACCAUUGCAAGAGAAUAGAAGGCACGGAACAGGCAGAAAACUUUAGCUAUAUGCUUCAUUUAUCAAAUGGAUAUGAAUUGAUUACCUUUGAAAUGGGUAUUCAACUGUAAAAUGGAUUCUUAUUGGACUAUACAAUCUAGACAACUAUAGUUGCAGAAAAGCUGGCUGUUACAUAUAGGAACUAAAAUAAAAAAUGCUUAAACUCACUGAACUCUGCACAUAGGUAUAUUCAUAUUCAUAGUAACAACUCAAAAACAGCAUUCUACAACAAAUAUGACGACUUAAUUUGGGAGGAUGACAUUAGGGUUUCGAGAAUGUGGACCAAAAUCUGCCAAUUCAUUCCAAUUUGUUCCAGUUUCAUGAACAUUUGAGGUUAGACUCCAUAGCACAUUCCCAGGCUGCAUCUUUCUCAUCAUUGAUGGGUAGUAUCUUACCAUCGCUUUUGACUUCGAAAACGUUUUCUUAUUGGAGUUAGCUAUGCCACUAGCAAGCAACCAGCGUGUCCCGGACUGUUGCUGUGCUUUGCUACCCCAAAGAUGCUGCUUAUGAGGCUCAGUAUUUAACCCUGCAAGAUGGACUUCAGUGAUUAAGAAAAAUGGAGCACCAUCUUUUUCUUCUGCGACUUCGGAUUCAGGGCUCUCUUGCUCAUCUCUUUCUCGCUCUAUAGCAAGAGAAACUCGCUCUACUUGAAUUAAAGCAAUCAUCGAAGUGCCGAUUGGUUCAUAGUUUCGAAGGGGAUCUCUAAGCAACACCAUGACAGCAAGCGUAAAGUUGUUCCCCAACGGCCCACGCUCUCUACCAGAUGCUUUACCUAAGUUAACACGUUUUAUCAAUUUUCCACUAACUGAAUCAAGGCACUUGGCUUGAUGAGCCUCAAGGAUCUGGAUCUUAUGAUCACUAAUAUGGUCUCCGUGGUCUAUAAUCCCAGCGUCCAGCCGUAACCACUCAUCCAAUGUUAUGGAAAGGCUCAUUAAUCUAUUAACAUAAUCAACAUCAUAUCCAAAAUCCAGGUCCAGGGAAUUUGAACUUGCAGCUCCCUCAAAACUGAGUAACUUACUGAAAUUUGAAUCCUUGCCUACAAUAAAUGGCAUGUUGCUUGAGGAAAAAGGACUGAUGCUUGAUGGUGCAUCCUCGUCUGACAUGCCACAUUGAAUUCUCAAACCCUCUAAUGCAAGGACUUCAAUCCUACUCAUGACCGAUGGAACAAGGUUUUCCAUAGAUACACAACCUGGGUCAAUCUGACCACAUACGAGACCUGAGCUCAGAUUAUCGCAAGUCCAGCAAAAUUGAAAUCCUUCAACUUCAUUUCUCUGAUCAAAUGAAUCACGCUCACAUAGUAAUUCUUGCUGCAACUCAUCCCACCUGUCAAAUAAUGAUUUUGAGUUAAUAAAACAGGAUAAAAGAUGAAAGUGAAAUAGAAAAUGAAAGAGAAAGGAAUUGAGAAACUGAUGGCGAGAUUAAUGCAUACCUCUCUAGCAUUAUAGCUCUGGAUGCAGCUUCCAGUGCAACUUGUUGCAAUGUUUUCCCAGUAAUAUCCUCCAAAGGCAUUAAUUUGCUUACAUGCAAGGAAAGAUUCUCAAUUCCGAGUGAAGCCAAGUUUUGUAAUAUCUCCAUAACAUCAGUACCCAAUCUUGCAGGAAACACAGCAGCUCUAGAUACUUGGAUGGCCGGGCACCCAACAUUUUUACAAUUUAUAAAAUGUAAAGGAUUCAUGGACCGCAGGACACCUCCAUCCUUUGUUGGAAUGAAAUGUCCAAAGCCUUCUCCCAGUGGAGGUAAUUCACUUUGUUCUGAUGAAAACUCUAUUGGACUUCCAAAUCCAUCAGUCUGAACACACGGAGAACUUUGAAAUGCAUUCUCAUCUAAGCCCCACUCACACAUCAAGGCUUCAGUCUCCAAGUAUUCAAGCAUUUUGAUCGACCUUCUGUUUGCCAGUGACUGACUUUCCUCCUGCUCCUUCCUGGGCAGAAUAACUGAAGAGAAAGCAAAAUCAUCAUAAUUAACCCCGUGACAAGGACCAGGAGUGGUGGAUCCAACUUCCUCCUCUUCUCCCCCAGCACCAAAAUUUAAGAUGAAGUCACCGGAAGCUAAGGCUUCAUUCUCAAAUUCUCUCAACAGACGUUCUCUAGGAGACUCAACAGCAUUGUCAGAAUUCAAGCUAAAUGGACCAUGUUCAAUUUCCAGCAUCUUUAAGAAAUCACUAGCCACAGAGUCGGCAAUUUCAUCCAGACUAAGUGAUUUCUUUAUUGAAUUGCUAGGUGUGUAAUGUGAUUUAACCUCCAUAUACUUUUCAUGCUCAAUGAACUCAUCCAAAGCAGAUGAAGAUUCUGUAAUCAAUAUGUCAUCAAAAUCUGACUCCAGCCCCCCUAAAGUCAUUGGUUUUGAAUGUAUAGCACUUUUUUCCUGUAUGCAUUCAUCAACCCCAACCUCCUCCGUGCAAACACUGGAGCAGUAGACAUCUAAAAGCUGCUCUGCUUCCUCAUCAAUGUCAGUGUCACAAUCUUUAAGGAUCUCUUCCACAUUGAUAAUACCAAUGGUGGAGCCAUCAAUAGUCUGAAUAGCACUUUGUUCAAGUUUAGAUGGAUCAUUAUGACACAUUUCUACACCCUGUUCAAUAACAGAAAACUCAAUGUUUUCAUACUCAUCUAUAACUUCAUCAAAAUCGGAAUAAUGUUUGGGUGGCUCCACAUGCUCAGACAAUUUAUCUAAGCUUGACACCCUGUGCAAGUUCCCUUCAUUAAGUUUCUGAUAUAAAAAACCUAAUGAUUUGGAAAGUUUCAGUCCCACACUUGGCAACAAUUCAGUACCAAACUGUAAAUCAACAGAUAAAGGUGACAGGUAAGACAUGUGGUCUACAUUACUCGGAACAGUCCCAAAAUGUUGAAGUAUCCCAUUCCCCUUGUCUGGAUUAAGAAUCCCACUGUGUCCCAUUGCACUUGACCCCUUCUCUGUUAGAUUUAAAAAACUCGAUGCAUUUGUUUUGCCACUUGAUUCAACUAAAUCAUCCCCAGUUGCCAAGAAACUGAAGCUGACAUUUAGAGUCGCACCUUUAGCCUUGCCAGAAAGUUUAAAGCUGGUCGUCCAUUUACCUGACCUCUUCUCCCCAACUAAAUCCUCCAAAGUAAGUGGUAACAGCCUUGUGAGAUCAAUCCAAUGCUCUCCUAUAUCAUUCCCCAAAGCGCCAACAAUGGAUGCAUAGAUCACGAAAAGCCUGGCCUCGUAUUUUGCUGAAUUACGAGGCCCACUUUUACUACCAUACACACAACAUUGACACAUUAAUGUCUCUUCAAAUUCAGCAAUUCCAUCCACAACCCUCACUGCACGAGUAGACAAUACUUCAUCCUUCAUCUUCCAAUGUACACAUAAGCUCAAGUCAUUUAAGAAGGCAGGCAAGUCAUCAAUAGAAUGCACAUGGAGAAAGAAACAAAUAUCAAACCUAUGAUGCCUGAUAUGAGUUAAUGCUUUAAAAGGCUUCUUCCAAUUCCAUAAUGAUGAUGAAGAUGAUUUCUUUUCCUUAUGCUUCACAUCAUUAUAAAGGUUUCUUGAAUUCUGCUUUGAUUUUGAUUCUGAAAGAUGGGCUUUGCCAGCAGAUUUAGACCUAACAUUGGAUGUGGUAAUCAAAGCAGUUGAUGAAGGUUUCUGCAAGUAAAGGGCUUUACUUAUUUCCUCAAUGUCACGCAAUAACUGACCAUCAUUAGAAUCAGCAACUCCAUUAUUCUUAUCCAUUCAGAUACCCUUAAAAGAAAUUCAGUUUCUAGAGAUAUCUUCAACAACCCACUUGAAUCAUUAAAAUCAUGCACCACACAACACAAAGGAAGAAAAAAUGUUUUAAAAAAUGAAUUACAAUACAAAUCAUUUGAAACCCAGAAAGAAAUUAAUCAAAGUAAAUCAAAAGCUACUUACUUGAAAUCUGAUUCCUUUUUCCUGCAGAUUAAACAGUAAAACCAAAAACUUGAUCGAUUUCAGUAGCUCAGCUUUUUGACUAAAACAAAGUCAAGAAUAAAUAAACCCUUUGAAGGCGAUUGAAAAUUGAUAAAGGAAGCUGCAAUUGGUUUAGUUGGGAUUUUAUUGGGAUCGUCUAAAUUUCUUAUAUAUAUAGGCUUUGUAUUUUCUCGGAAAAGUAGACGGGACAAAAUGCUUUUGUCUUUGUAUAAACAGCUUGUGUGAGUUGUAAGUAGUUGGUGAAGCUGAGGCAAUGCCGAAAAAGCCCAACGCAGUUAAGAUACUGUGUUGCGGACCGGGUUUUUUAUUUAUUUAUUAUUAAAAUAAAACAAAAAAAACAAUUUAGGGUGAAGUACAAAAGUUGUCAAUAAAUAAACAGCAUUGCAUCCCUGAACUGAUUUCUAGGCCCGUCCCAUCAACUGCUUUUUGCAGUAAAAAUUUCAUUGAUUAUGGUAAAAAAAGAGAGAGUAAUUUUCAACUACCCUUUCCCUCUCCUUCACCUCUCACUUUCACUCUCACCAUCUUUCAGCAAAAAAUCAAGGUAAAUUUCUUUUUCAUGUUAAUACUUUUUUUUAAAUAAAUAUUAAUAUUUGGGGUCUUUUACAAAAUUAUUACAAAGAAAUAAAAAAUAACUAAAAUAUUAUCUUUUUUUUUAUUUACCAAAAUAUUAUAAAAAAAUUUAUUUACCAAAAAAAAAUCUGCAAAAAAAAAUUGUGGCGGCACCAAAGGUGCCAAAGAGAUUGGCGGCACAGGACUAAAAUGUAACCCUCUACAGUUUCAAGGACCUGACAUGUAAAUUUACCAUUUUAAAUUUUAAAAGUGAAUUGGUGCGCCUACGGGUGUGUCAGCGCCAAAACUGAAACUUGACUAAUUGUCUUUUAAGCGCUCUUUAUUUAUUAUUUUCUUUUUAUUCCCCUUCAACUCACUUUUUUAUUUAAUAAACAAGCCAUCAACCUAUUUUUGUAGUUAAAUAAGCUCUUAAUCUAUGAUUUUUACUCAUAAAAGCCUUUUAUUUUAUUAUUAAAGUAAAUAUAUUUUACCUAAAGUAAAGCUAUUUAAAAAAGUAUAAACUAAUUCACAUUUUAUGUAUUAUUUUGGUAAUUUGAUGAGAAUAGUUUAUUAAAUAAUAACUCUAUUUUACUUUAAUAAACUAUUCUCAUCAAAUUACUAAAAUUUAUAAUUAAGUGAUAAUUAAGAGACUUAGAAUUCUAAUUAAGUAAUAACUCUAUUUCACUUUAAUAAGUUUAUUAAAAAGUAAUAACUCUAUUUUACUUUAAUAAACUAUUGCUUUUAGACUUAAUUUAGUAAUGUUUCAAAAAAUGUUUUUAGGAAAAAAAUGUUUUUAAGGAGAAGGAAAAAUUUUUUAACUUUUUAAAAAAUAUACCUUUUUAGCUAAUUUUUUAUUUGGGAGAAGUAUUUUUUCUUUUAAAAAUUAACUUAUUUAGAAAUAUUUUUUAUCCUAAAAAUAUUUCUUAAAAAUAAUAUUAAACACGCGACACCAAACUGAAAUAUGAUAAAUUAAAAUAUUCAAACUCCUGAUAAGUAAAUUUUUUUAUUUAGAUUGAUUAUUGAAAAAAAAGCUUUAAGGUCUCGCCUGAGAGUGUGGCGACAUCAAACCUUAAAUAGGAAUAAUUGCUUCAUAAACCUUCAUUAUUUAUUAUUUAUUAUUCUCUUUCAACACCAAAAAUAGAGAAGUCUUAUACCAAUUAGUCCAAAAAGUAUUUUUGUAAAAAAUCGAUUCUAACCGGAAAUAGAUUUUAUUUAUUUUUCAAAAAAUAUUUUUUUUGACAUAAUAGUUAAUGAUAUUCAUAAUAAUUUUCUUUUGUUCACGUUAUAUCUGGAAACUAUAAAUUCAACUAAUAAUUAUAAAUUAUACAUAAUAAGAUUUUUCUAAAGUUUUUAUAAUUAAAAUUUUAUACCGUAUACGUAAAUUAAAUUGAUAACAAGGAUAAUUAUAAAAGCUUUAGAAAAAUAUUAUCAUGUAUAAAUUAUAAUUAUUAGUUAAAUUUAUAGUUUCUAAUUAUAAUGUGAGCGAAAGAAAACUACUAUGAGUUCUGUUAACUGCUAAGUCAGACAUAAUUUAAAUAGAAAAUUAUUUUUCUAAAAAUAAAUAAAAUUUAUUUGUGGUUGGAAUCACCUUUUUUACAAAAAUACUUUUAGGUAAAAAAAUUUUUGGACUAAUUGAUAUGAGACUUCUCUAUUUUCUAUAAAUUUUUACUUAUUAAAGUAAAAAUAAUACAUAAAAUUACUUUUUAAUAAACUUAUUAAAGUAAAAUAGAGUUAUUACUUUUUAAUAAACUAUUCUCAUUAAAUUACCAAAAUAAUACAUAAAAUGCAAAUUAGCUUAUACUUUUUUAAAUAGCUUUACUUUAGGUAAAAUAUAUUUACUUUAAUAAUAAAAUAAAGGGCUUUUAUGAGUAAAAAUCAUAAAUUAAGAGCUUAUUUAACUACAAAAAUAGGUUGAGGGCUUGUUUAUUAAAUAAAAAAGUGAGUUAAAGGGGAAUAAAAAGAAAAUAAUAAAUAAGGAGGGCUUCGAAAGCAAUUAGCCAAGUUUCAAUUUUUGCGCUGACACACCCACAGGCGCACCAAUUCACUUUCAAAAUUAAAAAUGAUAAAUUUGCAUGUCAGGUCUUUGAAACUGCAGAGAGUUACAUUUUAGUCCUGUGCCGCCAAUCUCUUUGACACCUUUGGUCAGGCCAAUCUCUUUGGCACCUUUGGUGCCGCCAAUCACUUUGGCACCUUUGGUGCCGCCACAGGUUUUUUUUUUUGCAGGUUUUUGUUUUUUUUUGGUAUAUUUUGGUAAAUAAAAAAAAGGAUAACAUUUUUGAUACGAGUCACAAAGGCCCAACCCAAUAAGUUUAGUCGAAUUUGGCUACCAAGAAUGAGUACCGAUCGAUCUUUUUGAGUAAUAAAGAUGGCUGGAAAUUCACAAGAAGAAUAAACAAGUUAGAUCAAAAGAAUCGGCAUAAACAGAAUUUAAAAGAAAAGAAUGAACAGCAAGAAAGUAAAUUGAAGUCCCAAAGAUCCUUGAAAUCCCGAAAGAUUUCACAAAUCUCUUCAAAACAGCCCAUAUAAGUGCAUGGCCGAAUUUACCUUGUUAUUUUAUUAAUUAGGUUUAAUUUUUUAUUAGUUACUUGUGAGAUUAGGAUUUGUUGGAGGCCUAUAUAAGCAUUGGCUAGCCACCCUUUGUAAACACAUCUUAUUAUUAUUUUUCUAUCAAAUUUUAGAUUUGUUGAGUGCAGAAUUUUCUUUGGGGUUUUCUCCAAGAAUUCUCUCUUGAGUUUUCUUUAGAAGUUGUUUUAACAAUCUUUUGAUUGUGGGAGCCAUCUUCAACCUUCUUCUUGCCAUCGAUAUUCUUUGGAGGGGAGAUUAGAGCCGUUUGAAGAGAUUUGUGAAAUCUUUCGGGAUUUCAAGGAUCUUUAGGACUUCAAUUUACUUUCUUGCUGUUCAUUCUUUUCUUUUAAAUUCUGUUUAUGCCGAUUCUUUUGAUCUAACUUGUUUAUUCUUCUUGUGAAUUUCAAGCUAUCUUUAUUACUCAAAAAGAUCGAUCGGUACUCAUUCCAGCCAUCUUUAUUACUCAAAAAGAUCGAUCGGUACUCAUUCUUGGUAGCCAAAUUCGACUAAACUUAUCUUCUCCAAGAUUGAUUUUCAACAAGCCGAAUCUGUCCAAGAACUAAACCGAUGAAUAAAGCCCCAAAUUCCAGCAACUUGAUUUUUCCCAAAAUUCCAGCAACCUAAAACAGUCAGUUUUGACAAGAAGAAUUCGACAAGAUUAAUUGGGAAAGAUAAGUUUAGUCGAAUUUGGCUACCAAGAAUGAGUACCGAUCGAUCUUUUUGAGUAAUAAAGAUAGCUGGAAAUUCACAAGAAGAAUAAACAAGUUAGAUCAAAAGAAUCGGCAUAAACAGAAUUUAAAAGAAAAGAAUGAACAACAAGAAAGUAAAUUGAAGUCCUAAAGAUCCUUGAAAUCCCGAAAGAUUUCACAAAUCUCUUCAAACGGCUCUAAUCUCCCCUCCAAAGAAUAUCGAUGGCAAGAAGAAGGUUGAAGAUGGCUCCCACAAUCAAAAGAUUGUUAAAACAACUUCUAAAGAAAACUCAAGAGAGAACUCAAAAAGAUCGAUCGGUACUCAUUCUUGGUAGCCAAAUUCGACUAAACUUAUCUUUCCCAAUUAAUCUUGUCGAAUUCUUCUUGUCAAAACUGACUGUUUUAGGUUGCUGGAAUUUUGGGAAAAAUCAAGUUGCUGGAAUUUGGGGCUUUAUUCAUCGGUUUAGUUCUUGGACAGAUUCGGCUUGUUGAAAAUCAAUCUUGGAGAUCGAUUUCGUGUUUUUGCAUUCCGAAAACAUCUAUUCAUAAGAUCUUUGAUUCUUGGCUGUUCUUGAUUGUUUUGGGGAUCUUAAUUUUCAGAUCUGAUUUGUUUUUAAUCUUAUUCUUUGUUUUGAUUUCAGAUCUGUUCGAUUAGAGCUUUCGUAGGAGUUUCUCGUGACUUGGCAACUCGAUCUUGGUCCGCUUGCGUCCCUUUAUCAAAUUUGGUUAUUUUUUUAUUUUUUUAUAAUAAUUUUGUAAAAAACCCUAAUAGUUGUUUGAAAAAUAUUAGAAAUAGGUUUAGAUAUACAAGUUAUUUUAAAUAGUUUUUUUAUAUAAAACUAGUUUUUUUUCCUUGUGAUGCACGAGUUCAUCGUAUGUAUUAUUUAGUUUUUUUAAAACUUGUAAUAUAUAUAAUUUUGUUUGCUAAUAUUGCUAUAAAAAAUUAAAAACAUAUUUUUUGUGAUUAUAUUUAUUUAUAAAAUCGAACUUUGGAACAUAAUAUUAAUAAAUUAUUUUUCUUUGAUAAUUAUUUUUAACAAAAUAAAAUUUAUAAUUACUUAAAUAAUUUAUUUAAUUUUUGACUGAAAGGUGAUAUUUUUAGAACAAAUAGAAAAUGAUAGUCUAAUUUUGUAAUUUUAAUAAAGGAAUUUCUUGAUUUUUAAAGGUUGGAAACAAUAAAGACUUAAAUUAUGAUUUAGAAAUGUUAAGCACAUUUAAAUAAUUUUAGAGAACAUGGAUGGGUUAAAAAGGCAUUUACCAUUCACAAAAGCUAUAAAUCUCUCUAUUUUAUUGCCUCUAAGUUCAUUUUACAUACUAUUGAUUAUUGGUUUGAGAGCAUAAAAAGUUAUCAAUUUUUUUCAAAAAAAGUAAUUAAGCUUUUACUUCUUUUUUACACUCAAUUAGACACUUGAACUUUCAAAAUACAUGAAAAGAUCCUUAAACUUUUUCAAAAAAAGCAAUUAAACCCCUGCUUUUUUUCACUCAAUUAGGUACUUACCAAAAUGAAUCAAAAAGGCCCUUUUACCAUUAAUUUUAACAGUUGAUUAUUAAAGUUAACUAGCCCUAUUUUUUUAAUUAAAGCCACCACGUGCCACAACCACAACGUGACAUAUGACAAAAAAAUUAUAAAAAAUAAAAAAUAUAAAAAAUAUUAAAUUUUAAUAAAAAUAUUAAAUAUUUAUUAAAAAUUAAAAAAUCGUAAAAUAUUGUAAAAUAUAUACAAAUAUAGAAAAAAUAUAAAAUUUUAUAAAGUCGUAAGAAAAUUAUAAAAAAUAUAAAGAAAUAUAAAAUUCAUAAAAAAAAUUAUAAAAAUUAUCUACCAAAAGAAGCAUUUUAUAAUUUUUCUAUAACUUUUAUCGAUUUUUAUUUUUAUCAUUUUUCACCACAUGUCACACACUGUGUUGAGACACAUGAUAACUUUAACUAAAAAAAUUGGAGUCGUUAACUUUAACAAUCAACAGUUAAAGUUAAUAGUUAAAUGACAUUUUUUAUGCAUUUUAUAAUUUUUAAUAAUUUUUAUAGAAUUUUACAAUUUUUUAUAUUUUUUUAUGAUUUUUAAUUUUUUUUAAUUUUAAUAAAAUUUUUAUAUUUUUAUAUUUUUAUUAAAAUUUAAUAAUUUUUUAUAAAUUUUAUUGAUUUUAUAAUUUUUUGCCACAUGUCAUACGGUGAUUGUGACAUGGAGUGGCCUUAACUGAAAAAAAUUAGAGGUAGGUCAAAGGGGUUUUUUUAAUGCAUUUUGGCAGUUUAAGUAUCCAAUUAAGUGUAAAAAAAAGUAGGGGCUUAAUUUCUUUUCUUGAAAAAGUUUGAGGGCAUUUUUUAUGUAUUUUGAAAGUUCAAGUACACAAUUGAGUGUAAAAAAAAGGGGGGAUUAAUGGCUUUUUUUUUAAGUUUGAGGGCGUUUUUUUUAUGCAUUUUGAAAUUUUAAGUACACAAUUGACUGGAAAAAAAAGUAAGGGUUUAAUUACUUUUUAUGAAAAAAUUUGAGGGCAUUUUUGAUAAAUUUUGAAAGUUCAAGUACUCAAUUGAGUGCAAAAAACAAAAACAAAAAAAACACAUGAGCUUAAUUGUUUUUUUUUUUAAGUUUGAGGGUUUUUUACAACCAUUGAUUAUUCUAAUUGAAUGAAUCAAUAUUUUUUCUUGUCUAUUUAUUUUAAAAAUUAUUAUUUUAAUUUGAUAAAAAAAUUAAAAGCAAGAUUAGUCAUUUAAAUAAGUGAAUAUAAUUCUUGUGAUUAAAAUAAACAAUUUAUAUAUAACCAUUAAUUUAAGAAAAUAAUGAUGACAAUAUAGUUAACUAAGAUUUGAUUUUAAUUAUUUUUAUUUAAAAUUUGGUUUUAAUUUUAUGCUUAAAUAACAAAAAUUUGUUAUUGAUAUCUUCACCUACAUAAUAUUAAUUAAUAAUGAAAUUAACUAUUUUAAAUUUAUAAAUAAUGUAUAUCUUUGAAAUAAUAUUUAUUAAAAUUUUUUAAAUAUUUAAUACUUUUUUAAAAUUAAUUUUUGGUCCAUUAAUAUGAUGUUUUUAAUUGUUAACAUUUUAUCAAUUUUAUAAAAUACGUGCAUAGUAGAAUGUGUAAUUUAAGUAUUUUAAAUAUUUAAAUUUACAAAUUAUUGAUAUUAUUGGAACAAUGUAUUAAAAUUUUAAAUUUUUAUUCUAUUUUAAAAAUAACAAACAAAAUAUAGAUAAAUAACAUAAUUGCCAUGUUUCAAUACAACAAACAUAUCAUCCGUUAAUAAAUUAAACCUCCAUGUCAUCUGGAAUUGGCAUCAAAUUAACAGUAUCCUUUCAACGUUUUCAGUAAAGAAGAUAUAUUUUCAACCCGAUUUGUUCCUCGUACAUAAACCCUUGGUUGUGGAUCACCAAAAUAUUUUUUCGUUGCGCCAUGGGGCGUACCAGCAGUCCCAACAUUAAUGUCAUUGUUGAAAUCCUUGAUUUUAAGAUUUUAAACUUCCUUUCAGACUUUGGCGAAUACUUUUCUGGUUCCUGGUUGGUGGAUAACCAUACGCCAAUUCUACUCUUAACCACCUUAUAGACAUUUCACCCGAAUGGAGGAAUUUCAGACUUCACACCAUAUUUUAAAUCCUUCUUCAUAAUCCCUUUGAAAGUAGUAGUUGGAUACACACCACCUCAAAACAAUAUUCAUCCGAUUAUACUCUUGGCGGAUUCUCUUACAGACUCUAGCGAUUAUCAGAACGCCAGUUACUUUAUAACUUCGAAUAAGCCCAAACAACAGACUUACUUAGAAGAAUAUAGUAUUUUAAUUCACACAAUAGAAUCUCAAAUGACUUCCAUACAGAACAUGAAACUUCCUAGGUAUGGUGGGCAACUUACAUCACCUUUAAAUAAAUGCAAUGGUUAUAUCUCAUAAAACUAAGGUGGUUCCUCCAAGCCAAUGGCGAAAUCGUAGGGAAUCCUAAGGGUUUAUGCCGUUUCUCAAGCUUCUUUUCCUCUAGCCCGUAUCAACUCGUACAAUUUACAAUUAUAAAAACUCAUUUUACAUACGAGGGAGUAAGAUGAGAAGAGAAGUACAAGAGAAAUAUAGAAAGGUACGACAAGCCGACCAUAUUUAUAAAAUUACAACAUUUGCAAAUAAUAAAUUAAAUGGGUUAUUGGGUUAUAAUCAUGCAUUUCCAAACACCGUGCAUAUCAAACAUAGUAUACAACAUGUAUCUCAUAUAAUUACAUCAACCAAUAAAUUUAAUCCCGAAUCUGUAUAGUACAAGUGGCUCUAAUACCACUAUUGGGACCGCUGGUAUGCCCCGUGGCUCAGCAGAAAAAUAUUUCGAUGAUCCACAGCCAAGGAUCCAUGUAUGAGGAACGAAUUGGGUUGAAGUAGGGUUGAAAAUAUACCUUCUUUAAUGAAAACAUUGAAAGGAUGCUACUAAUUCAAUGUUGAUUCCAAGCUACAAUGAAAACGUCUCAGGCUCUAUGUAGUCCACCUCAUCAAAAAUAAACAAUCACUUUCUCUUGAACUUUUUAGAUAUAAUUAAAAACGGUUGCCAGACCUUUUAAAUCAUUAAGUUGGUAACCUUAACAGGCAAAUAGAUUAUCAUUCUUUUAUCUUCUUUGAUAUCACAUAUUAAAAAGAAAAAUCAAGAUUAUUCUCUUAUUAAUAGAGAAGGCAAAUGGAAAGUUAGAAAAAUGAAUUUAUUAUUUCCAAAAGAAUAUUAACUUCUAUGUCUUUUAUAUUUUGAUCGGAAUUAAUUAAUAUAACUAUUUAUAUUAAUAAAUUCAAUAAAAUAUAUACAAUUAAUAUUUUGUAUGAAUCAAAUUCAUAUAUUAAUUAUAUCUAUGUUUUUUAUUUGUGUACAACAAGUUUGUACAUAAAAUGUGUUUAAUAUUUAACUACAUGAGACAACUAAAUACAAUACCAAAUGUAUUUGGGUUCUAUUCGUUUCAACUAUAAGGUGUGACCCUAUAGACUCUUGUAACGUUGGUAGUAAUACUAGAACGUUUCUAAUAUUACAAGUGAUGAGUGGCAUCUAGCAAUGCAUCAUUGCCACCCAAGUUAGAAGAAGUCAUGAUUCGACAUAACUUUUUUGUGAUAAUCUUUCCAUUUCGGUCAAGGGAGAAAGAUGAUAGCAUUUUUACAUUUGGUUUUCUUAAACCAAUUAUCAAAUUAAUAACUAAAUAAUAUAAUCAUGCAUAGGCAAACCGUCCACUAUUAAUAAUUAUGACUAAAUUACCAUAUUAGACCAUUUAAAUAUACUUUCGCACUCAACUAGUCUCUUUAUGUAACACCCCUAUCCCGUAACCGUCACCGGAAUAGGUAAAGGGCAUUACAAGACUUUUAAUUCAAUUCGGAACAGUAAAACAUUGAACAUUUACUAAAUACCAUUUCAAACAUACCAAAUUCAAUGUCAAUUUCAUAUAUCAAUUUCAUAUCUAAACAUGUGUACAUAUCUCAUUUCAAUACAUUAUAAAACAUACCAAAACCUUGUUAUACCAUAUCAAAAUCUUACCGAACUCACAAGUAAACACUUAUCACCAUUCAUACUAACAUAUCCAUAAUCAUACCUCAUUUAUGCCAAAAUAUCAUUGAUCAAAUUCACCACAAAAUGAGCAUAAUACGUAAUGCUUCCAUACCAAACCUAACAUUUCCAUCUCAAGCCAUAUCAUAUAGCUUGAUCAAACCCCAUAAUUCAUACCACAUUCACCAACAUAAGUGACCAAAUAAUUCAACCCAUAUACUAGCUUAUACAUGCCAUAUUUACAAUAUUUACAUAAGAUCCAAAAGUAUCGAAUAUCGUCUAGAUAGUGUGAUAGCAAAUCUCUGACCUAGUCCGAAAUCGAGCUAACUUUUGAAAUCUAUAGGACAUAAGAAAAUGAACGAAGUAAGCAUUAAGCUUAGUAAGCCGUAUAAUAUAGAAUUAAACUUACCAAUUUAACAUUAAGCAUUAAAGUAAUUAAAAUCAACUCAUUUGUCCACAAAGCCUAUUCAUAUCAUCAUUCACAAGUUAGUCAUUUCACCUCCAUAUAUUCAUCCGUUCAUAAAGAUGAAACCAAACAUAUAACAUUCUUUUAACAUCCAAAUUCAUUCCUUAAGUCAUAUAAUCAUAUAUCAUAAAAUCAAUCCAAGUCAUAUAAUCAUAUAUCAUAAAAUCAAUCCAAGUCAUAUAGCUAAAUAUAUCAUGUCAUCUCUAUAAUUCAUAUAUUCAUAAAACAAAUAAUCCAAGUAACUUAUAAACCAUGAAAAUCAUAUAACAUUUAUAUCAGUUCAUUCCUAUUCGUAUAACCUGUAAUUCAUCAGUAAUAACAGAAAUUUAUCCAUAUCAACAUUAACUUAUACAUAUCAACAGUAUUUCAUCCAUAUAAUUAUAUAGCUUAUUUAUAUGAUCAGUAAUAGUAAUUAAACCUAUUAGAACAUCGAGGGAUACACGGGUGAUACACUAUGAGUGUAUUAAUCAGAAAUCAGUCAAUUCCUCAUCAUUUACGCUCUUUCGAGCCAUGAUCAGUUUGCUCCUCUUGAGCAGGUAAACGGUAAGCUCUAUCAAGCUGAACGGUAAGCUCCGUAGAGCUGAAACAGUAAGCUCAUAAGAGCUGAAACGGUAAGCUCAUACGAGCUGUGGUGAGUCCGCAACAAAUGCAGGAGCUGGACCGAACAGUAACCCUAGUGACAGGUCACUUGUAUCCGAUGAUUUUCUAAAGUUUGAACAGGGCUCGGUAUUAUCCAAUUUCAUCAUUUAAGCAUUCAAUAAUCAAUAACUAAAUUUCUCAAAUCAUAUAUAUAUAUUCAAUUUAAUUACAUACAUACAUACUAUUAAAUACUCAAAUUGCAUAUUCAUUGCAUAUUAUUAUACCAAAUCCAUGUAACAUAUAUAGCAUUUGUAACAUUUUAUUUUCAUUCCUGUAAACAGAAAUAUAAUUGUAUAUCGAUAAUUUAAAUUUCAAAUGGAUUAUUCGUUCAACUUAUAUACAUUCAUUUUUGGACAUUUACAAAUAUUUAAUAAUUUGAUUCUAGCUAUACAAACUUACCUCGUAUUGCUCGGAUAAACCGUCGUCUACUCGUCUACUUUUCGUUUCCCCCGAUCUAGUUCCGGUAAUUGUUUAUCUUGAUCUAAAUAUUAUCAAAUUCGGUAAUUUCAGUAACUAUUCAAUACAAUUUAAUCCACAAUUCAUAUAUUUGGCAAUUUACACAUUCUCCCCUAUACUUUUGACUACUUUGCAAAUUAGUCUUUAUUACACAAAAUGGCAAAUUUAUGCAUUUAGGCCAUAACCCAUGCAUAGCCGAAUCUUUAUGACAAUACUAGCAGCCCAUAUUUCUAUUUAUUUCACACUUUCAACCAAAAUAUUUCAACAUUUUACAAAUUCCUCAAUUAAAAUCCCUAAUUGACAUUUUUGUCAAAAAUCUCUUUACAAAACAUAUAUAUCAAACACCUAGCUUGCAUAAUUCAUCAUCAAACAUCAUAAAACUCAUGGAUUCAUCAAUGGAAUUUUUCAAAAUCACUAGCAAACUCAAAAAUUAAGGCACGGGCUAGCUAGGACUCAAAGCAACGAUCACAAAAAUAUAAAAAUCAUCAAAAACCAAGCAAAAUUGCUUACCUAAUCAAGCUACCAAGUUGCCGAAUAUCAAAACCCUAUUUUUAGCUUUCUUCCUUGUUUCAUUUGGCCAUAAAAGAUGAUAAAAAUGACCAUCAUUUUGUUUUGUUUUAAUAUAAUUUCCCUAAUUUCGCUAAUUACUAUUUUAACCUUAUAUUAUAACACAAAAAUUCACUUAUUGGAUGACUAUUUUUGUCCAUCCCAUUAACCAAUGUCAAAUAACCACAUAAGGACUUACACAUUUAAAAUCCUAGCAAUUAAUGAACUUUAACAAAUAGUAUGCAACUUUUGCAUUUUAUGUGAUUAAGUCCUUUUUAUUAAAUUAAACAUUUAAACGGUAAAAUUUCUUAACGAAAUUUUUAUACUAUCAUUCUAUCAUACUGUAAGACUUAUUAAAAUAGUAAAAUAAAUAUUUUGACUCGGUUAAAUGGUCCCGAAAUUACUAUUCCGAUCAGACUCAAAAACGAGCUGUUACACUUUAAACUAAUAGUAAUUGGCUUUUGCAGUUUUUACGAUUUAGUUUUUUUCUUUAAUUAACUAACUAAACGUCAAAAUUAUUGGACUAAAUUUCAAUAUGACACUAUAAUGACCUCUUAAAUAUUAAAUAAAUAAUAUUUAUGGAUUCACACGUCAAAAUUGUGGUUUUGAAAUCAAUAUUUUUGACACAACUGAAAAACAAGAUGUUAUAUGUUGUGAUGCUCGGAGUUCUAGGAGCGGUGGUGCUCGGGUCCCUAGUGUGGUGGUGGGGCUUGGAUCUCUAAGUGUAGGAGAAGUACUGGUGCGAUUACCAUUUCGGACUUCGAACUUGAGCUUUUGGCUAGCAAAACAAUGAUUGGGGAAACCGCAAAUGAAGUAGCGGUCGCAAUCUUAUUAAGGGUAAUCUUUGCCCGUCCGGUGGUCAAAGCAGAUAUGGCAUUUGCAAUGCUGCAAUCGUCAUAACCAUAUUCCGUCACCUCUGCAACAUUAUGUUGCCCGGUCAUAAAAUUCAACACUGAAAAAAAUAGUUGGUAAAAAACUUUUACAUAUCAUAAUUAAUAUCAAUUUUUUUAAAAUAAAAAAAAAACUAAAAUGGAAGAAGAAACUACAAUUGAAGGAGAAGACCCAAAAGAACAUUGUGAGCGCUUGGAAACCUUGCGGGUCUUGCCAUCAACUGACACAUUACAAAGAGUUUCGCCUUGAGUCUAGUAACGGCGGUAUGACUUGCAGAAGUAGCGAGGUUGAGAGAGGUUGUAGUUAUGGUGUUGGUUGAGUUGCACCUAGGGCAUGGAAGUGGCUUUAUUAGCUUAGGAGGCGGGUGGGACACCAUAGUUCCUGGAACUGCAACCUGACGCAUAUCGCUGAAAUCAGCAGACAUUGUUUUAAGUUGUGUGGAGGGAAGGUGGUGAUUAAAGGUUGACGCAUACCACCACAAUCAGCAGACAGUAUUUAGCCAAACUAAACAGAACUUAGAAACCUUUAGGCCUAAAGUUAAUUUUAUUUCUUCCGUCCCUGCCCCUCAUUUCCUACCACCAAAAAUGGGCAAUGGCAGGCAAUAAUAAGUCAAUAAAUGAGAAAGUAGGGGCGUAGUUAGGAACCCAAUGUUGUUUUCACUUUUCAUUUUGCUUUCAACCCAGCUUCUUUUCCCCCUGUAAUGGAUGUGAUUAUAUGGAUUUCAUUUGAACUGACUAGUGGCUAGCUAGGGGAUGGCAGGCCUGUCACCUUUAAAAUUUUUAAAAUUUUAAAUUAGAGUUCCACUUUUACUCCCUAAAAAUAAUAAAAAUUUAAUUUAAUUAUUUAAAAAUUAUAAAAAUAUAGAUUAUUAAAUUAUUGAAAUUGCAUUUUUAUUAUUGUAAAAAAUACAAUUUAAUUUCGGGCCUGUUUAGUAGUGCUUAAAAAAAAGCACUUUUGAAAAAAAAAAGUUAUGCUAAAUAAACUAUUUUUGACGGAAUUUUUGUUCUGAAAAGAAGUUAAAAUUUUUAGUUUUUUCUCUUCUAAAAGCACUUUUGGUGCUUAAUUAUUUUUUCACUCCUUUAAUAAUAUAGUACUUUCCCUUCUUUUCUUUGUUGGUGCUUAAUUACAAAUGUGUUAAAAUCAUUAAUUAAAAAUAAAAAAUAUUUUUAAAAUAAUAAAAAUGUGUUAAUAUCUAAUUACAAAUAUUUAAUGGUUAUAUUUAAAUAUUUAAAAUAUAGUUUAUAUAUUCUAAUUAAAUUUUAUAAAAAACAAUAUUUAUUGCUUAAAAAUAUUUAAAAUUUAUAUUUUAUAUAUUAAAAUAUUAACAAGUUAUAAAUUUUUUUAUAUUCUUACUAAAAUAUAAUAAUAUUAACUAAUUUGAACAUUAUUUAAAUGCAUAUUUGUUACUUGAUAAUAACAUAUCUAAAAUGAAUAUUUUAUUUUUCAAAAGCACUUUUUGAUAGCAAUGCUAAACACUCAAAUCUUAAACCAAACUUAUAAAAAGUAUUUUUCAAAAGCACUUUUUAAAAGUAUACUAAAUUAGCCCUUCGGCUUUGCCUCUGAACUGGACUAUGUUGGGGUUGAUUAACAUAAAGCAAUUAAAAGCAUAGUUGGAUGUAUUAAGGAGGGCUCUCCUAUAAUAUAUAUACAUACAUAUAUGUUUCCUUGAUUUCUGACAUAAUAGGUUGUCUUGCGUUAAAUCAUAAAGGUUAUAACUGUAUAUGCUUUGAAUUUCUGUCAAUGUUCUCAUUGAUAGAAUUUCCCCGUUUUUGCUGCUUAUCAUGAACUUUCUGUUGUUCCAAUAGGGUCGGAAGCGUGUAAAUUAUUGUACUAAAAAAUCACACAAAGUUCAAUUCCCAGGGAAGAGAGGUGGAUCACAAGGAUCUCUUAAAUACCAAGUCUUUCCUUAGACAGAAUAUCCCUUCUAUAGUAAUUUAAUAGCACAAUUAAAUACUACUAUUAUACCCUCAAAUAUUGAAAGAAAAAUAGGACAAGAAAGAACACAAGAGUUUUAACGAGGUUCGGUAAAUUAUACCUACGUCCUCGGGCACUAACACCAGAUGAUAACUUUACUAUCUUCAAAGUAUUACAAACAAAUAGAAUUCCUUAAGAAUUCUCAAAUGGGAGAAGAGAGAAAACUAAGAGAGAAAGAUUGGUUGGGAUGAAUUGAAAUGAGAAAUGAGAAGGCCUAUUUAUAGUUGAGGUUUAAGGACCAAACAAUAAAUAGCCCAUUAUCUCAAGGACCAAAAAAAAAUUAUCCCAUGCCACUUUUUCAAAGUCAAAUUUAGGGUGCUAAACUUGCACCACUUUGUAUUGUUUGCCAUUAAUGUUGUCUCCCAUUAAUGUUAACAAUCUCCACCUUGAAGAUUUGAUUAGGAUAAUCACAUCUUCACACACUUCCUUCAACUCCCCAAAUUCGAUAAAGCUAUCUUUUGUAGUGCCUACAAAUGCACUCUCGGGCGCCAUACACCUGAAGGUGCUCAAAUUCUCAGGAUGUUAAUCAAGUUCAAACAAUGAUUAAACUUGAUUGUUGUUACCACCUUGGUCAUCAUAUCUGCGGGAUUAUCUGCUGUCGGAAUCUUCUGAAGUAGAAUUUUUCCUUUUUCAAAGACUUCCCGCACAAAGUGAUAUCUUACGUCGAUAUGCUUGGUUCUUGAAUGAUAGACUUGAUUUUUCGCUAAAUGAAUAGCGCUCUGACUGUCACAAUAUAAACUUAUGUGACUUUGAACAACUCCUAAGUCUUUCAACAAUCCAUUAAGCCAAAUAGCCUCCUUAACAGCUUCUGUAACUGCCAUAUAUUCUGCCUCUGUAGUAGACACAGCUACUGUAGACUGUAAGGUAGACUUCCAACUUAUUGGGGCUUUCGCAAGAGUAAACAGAUACCCCGUAGUUGAACGACGUUUAUCUAAAUCACCAGCAAAGUCGGAAUCAACAUAUCCAACUACAAACUGACCAAGUGCUUCAUCCUGUUCAAAAAUUAAACCAACAUCUACGGUUUUUCGAAGAUACCGUAGAAUCCAUUUCACAGCUUGCCAAUGUCCUUUUCCAGGAUCAUGCAUAUACCUGCUCACAACUCCAACAGCUUGUGAAAUGUCAGGCCUCGUACACACCAUCGCAUACAUCAAACUCCCAACUGCAUUAGCAUAUGGGACUUUCGCCAUAUAUUCUCUUUCAUCUUCAGUCUUCGGAGAUAAUUGAGCACUAAGUUUCAAAUGAGAAGCAAGUGGGGUACUUACAUGUUUUGUGUUUUCAUUUACACCAAAACAUUGUAAUACCUUUUUCAGAUAUUGCUUCUGAUUUAAACAGAGCUUGCCUCUCGGUCUAUCUCUACUUAUCUCCAUACCGAGAAUCUUCUUGGCCUCACCUAGAUCUUUCAUCUCGAACUCUUGAUUCAACUGAGCCUUCAGCUUAUCUAUCUCAUUUUGGCUCUUCGAAGCGAUUAACAUAUCAUCAACAUACAAGAGUAGAUAAAUGAAAGAUCCGUCAUGCAGCUUCUGCAAAUAUACACAAUUGUCAUAUUUGCUUCUUGUGUACUUCUGCCUUCUCAUAAAGCUAUCAAAUCGCUUGUACCACUGCCUCGGGGAUUGCUUCAAUCCAUAUAGCGAUUUGUUAAGCUUACAAACCCAAUUUCUACCACCAGCAUCUGUGUAUCCUUCUGGCUGAGUCAUAUAGAUCUCCUCUUCUAACUCACCAUGCAAGAAAGCCGUCUUAACAUCAAGUUGAGCUAGCUCCAAAUUCAACUGUGCUACCAAGGCCAACAAAAUUCUAAUGGAGGAAUGCUUCACAACAGGGGAAAAUACAUCAUUGUAGUCAAUUCCCUCCUUCUGAGCGUAGCCUUUAGCUACCAAUCUUGCCUUGUAGCGAAUAUCCUUCUUGCUAGGAGAUCCAUCUUUCUUUGCGAAUACCCACUUGCAUCCGAUUGCCCUUUUACCUUUCGGUAAUUGCGCCAACUCCCAAGUAUUAUUCUUCCGGAGAGACUGCAUUUCUUCAUCCAUGGCGCUUUUCCAUUUAUCACUUUCUAAGCUUUGCAUUGCUUCUUGAUAAGUGAUAGGAAUAUCAUCAACAACGGGAAGGGCGUAGGCCACUAUAUCAGUAAAUCGAGCAGGUUUACGAAUUUCUCUCCGUGGCCUUGCAACUGCAACUGGUUCUGGUGUACUUAGUGGUUCUUGGGUCAGAACCUCUUCAACCUCUAAUUCCUCCAUUGUGGCUGGAGAAUUAGACUUAUUAACUGGGCAAAUCCCCAUCUGCUCAAACUCCACCUGUUUUGGAGUACACUCCACCUGCUGUGGAGUAUUGCUCGUCUGAAUAUCUUUAUCUGCUACCUUUUUCAAUGUGGUAGAUUCAUCAAAGGUAACAUCUCUGCUACAGAUCAUUUUCUUUGUGCUUAAGCACCAAAGACGAAAUCCCUUCACUCCAGAAGUGAUUCCCAUAAAGAGAGCUUUCUUUGCCCUCGGAUCUAACUUUGACUCCUUCACAUGGUAAUAUGCAGUGGUUCCAAACACAUGUAAGGAAUCAUAAUCUGUAGCCGGUUUUCCAGACCAUACCUCCAUAGGAGUUUUUCUUUCUAAUGCAGAUGAUGGCAAACGAUUAACAAGAUGGCCAGCGUAUGUCACAGCCUCAGCCCAAAAUUGCUUGCCCAACCCAGCAUUGGACAACAUACAUCGAACUUUCUCCAGCAAUGUUCGAUUCAUACGCUCUGCCAAUCCAUUCUGCUGUGGUGUAUCCCUAACUGUGAAGUGUCGAACAAUACCAUACUCUUGGCACACAUCGAAGAACGGAUCACUUUUAUAUUCCCCUCCAUUGUCCGUCCUAAGCCGCUUGAUUUUCUUGCCAGUCUGGUUUUCGAUCAUAGUUUUCCAUUUAAGAAAAACUCCAAGCACUUCAUCUUUAGUUUUCAUGGUAUACACCCAAACUCUUCUGGAAAAGUCAUCAACAAAAGUAACAAAGUAGUGUUUUCCUCCCAAUGAAGGUGUUUUGGAAGGCCCCCACACAUCUGAGUGAAUAUAUUCCAAAAUACCUUUUGUAUUAUGGAUAGCAGUGCCGAAUUUCACUCUCUUUUGCUUUCCCAGAACACAGUGCUCACAAAAUUUUAAUUUGCAAGCCUUUACACCUUUCAACAAUCCUUGCUUUGCCAGAAUUUGCAAGGAUUUUUCGCUGGCAUGUCCCAACUUCAUAUGCCACAACUGCAUUGAGUCCAAGUCUUUGUUACCGGAAGCUGCAGCGACUGCUCCAAUAACUGUACUACCUUGGUAGUAAUACAAGUUAUUUUUCCUGAUGCCCUUCAAUAUCACAAGUGCGCCAGAUGUCACUUUCAAAACCCCAUCUCUCAUAGUAACAACUGAACCAUUGGAUUCCAAGGCUCCCAAUGAGAUGAGAUUUUUCUUCAAACUGGGCACGUACCGAACAUCAGUCAGAACUCUGGUUGAUCCAUCUUUAUUCUUUAAUUGGAUUGAACCUAUCCCAACAGUUUUACAGGCAUUGUCAUUGCCCAUAUAAACAACUCCUCCAUUUAGUUCUACUAAAUCAGAGAACCACUCCCGGUUAGGGGACAUAUGAUAGGUACAACCCGAAUCCAAUAUCCACUCAUCUGAAUGGAACGACGAUGAUGAUGCAACCAGUGAUAGUUCAGAGUCACUAGUAUCAUGCUUAGCAACACAAGCAUCUACAGCAGCUUUUCCCUUAUUCUUCAGCUUUGGACAAUUUUUCUUCCAGUGGCCUUUCUCAUGACAAAAAGCACAUUCAUCUUUCCCGAGUCUGGACUUUGACUUUGAUCUCCCCUUUUGAGUUUUCUUCCGAGUGUAUGAACGACCUCGGACUAGUAAAGCUUCUGUAUCUCUGAUUGAGUUUUUCUGUUUGUCCUUCUUUCUCUGUUCAUAACUGUAUAAGGCCGCACAGACUUCGCUCAGAGAUAUAUCACUCCUGCCAUGAAGUAGAGUAGUUUCUAGGAACUCAAACUCCUCAGGAAGUGACCCCAACAGCAUCAAAGCCAAAUCUUCAUCUUUGAAUGUCUCAUCCAUAUUCAGCAAAUCAGUGACUAACUGAUUAAAUUUGGUGAUGUGAUCAUUCAUUGUGGUACUUGGGACGUAUGUGAAGCGAAACAGUCUUUUCUUCAAGUGGAGCUUAUUUUGACUGUUUUUCUUCAAAAAUUUUUCUUCAAGUGCCACCCACAACUUAUUUGCAGAAGUCUCCUUUGAAAAAGCAUACCUCUGCUCUCGAGAAAGGCAUGAUCGAAUUGUGCCACAUGCCAACCGAUUGAUCGCCUUCCAAUCUUUCUCCUGUACAUCAUCUGGUUUCUCUUCAUCAAUGGCAAUGUCUAGACCCUGCUGAAAAAGGGCAUCUAGAACCUCACUUUGCCACAUACCAAAAUGGCCCGUGCCAUCAAAGAUCUCCACGGCCAAUCUUGCAUUUGCAAUUGUCGGUCUUGUCCACAUGGACGAUGUUGAAGCUCCUACACCGACCGUUUUCUCCAUAAUCUUUCAAUAUACCUAAGGAAAUCUUUUCUGAUGUGGAAGAUCAGUUCAAACUGCAACCACAGAGCAUACUACGAUUAACCUUCGGCUCUUGAUACCACUUGUUGUUCCAAUAGGGUCGGAAGCGUGUAAAUUAUUGUACUAAAAAAUCACACAAAGUUCAAUUCCCAGGGAAGAGAGGUGGAUCACAAGGAUCUCUUAAAUACCAAGUCUUUCCUUAGACAGAAUAUCCCUUCUAUAGUAAUUUAAUAGCACAAUUAAAUACUACUAUUAUACCCUCAAAUAUUGAAAGAAAAAUAGGACAAGAAAGAACACAAGAGUUUUAACGAGGUUCGGUAAAUUAUACCUACGUCCUCGGGCACUAACACCAGAUGAUAACUUUACUAUCUUCAAAGUAUUACAAACAAAUAGAAUUCCUUAAGAAUUCUCAAAUGGGAGAAGAGAGAAAACUAAGAGAGAAAGAUUGGUUGGGAUGAAUUGAAAUGAGAAAUGAGAAGGCCUAUUUAUAGUUGAGGUUUAAGGACCAAACAAUAAAUAGCCCAUUAUCUCAAGGACCAAAAAAAAAUUAUCCCAUGCCACUUUUUCAAAGUCAAAUUUAGGGUGCUAAACUUGCACCACUUUGUAUUGUUUGCCAUUAAUGUUGUCUCCCAUUAAUGUUAACACUUUCAACAGUUGAAGUUUGUUUUGCUUGAUUGGUUGGUGCCCUGCUAUGAGAUAGAUAUUCAUCAUGGCAUACCUUAAUGAUGAAAAAUACACUUUCAUGGCUCAGAAUCUCAUAAUCUUGAAUGUUUCGAGCUUCCCGUGUCAUGUCUUCAUAUUGAUCUUAACAAAGUAACGUCUAAAGAUUUAUGUGGUGGAGGUGUCCUACAAGGAGUCGUUGCAUCUACAAACAAUCAGUGGGAAUAUAGCAGUGUCGCAUGGAAAUUGUCCUACUUUGCUCACUUUUCGACUUCACAAUACAAGUUAGUUCUCUGGUGAGAUUCCUCUAGAUUUAUGGAUGAGUUUCAAUUUGCCGGCAUUGAUGUUAACAAACAAUUCCUUUUCAGGCAAGUACCAAGUAAACUUGCAUGGAAUAUGUCAAGGGUGGAAAUUAAUGACAACAAGUUCUCUAGUGAAAUCCCAACCGCAACCGGAAUUGAAUCUUGGUAGACUUUCAGGCGAACAACUAUCUCUUCACAGGCAAAAUUCAAAAGUAGAUAACAUACCUUUCUCGCCUCACUACUCCGCUUCUUGACGGUAAUGAAUUUUCCAGUGAACUACAAUCUGAAAUAAUCUCAUGGAGAUCCUUAAAUACAUUAGAUGUCUCCGAUAACAAGCUUGCUACUGAAAUCCCUGCUGCAAUUUGGUCUUUACUAACCUGCAAACCAAUUCUCUGGUGAAAUUCCUCCUAAAAUUGGCAACAUGAGGUUGACUUGACUUGUCAGAAAGUUUCCCAAGCAGUUAAGUAAACCUUGCAUAUGAAAAGUUUUUUUUAAAUGGAAAAUGCUAAUUUAUGUGCAAAUCAUCCAAUUCUAUACAUUCCAGACAGCUACUGGAAACUCCAUCAGCCCAAGAAAUUGUCAUCUGAAAUAUCUUGCCAUGAUUGUAGCACUAGUCAUCCUUGUUUCUCUAGUUAUCCUUCUAUUUAGCUUCUUCCUUACUCGAGACUAGGAGGAAAAACACGUGGAGUGUAUGGAAGUUGGCCUUGUUCCUGAGAUUGGGUUGCACAAAGUGAACAUAUUGACAAUUUGACUGAUCAAUCUCAUCAGAAGUGGUGGCUCUGAGGAGGCUUAUUGAAUCAUCAUAAACCAUUUAGGCAAAUCUGUUGCCGUGAACAAAAUUUGGAAUAGUAAGUGGAUCACGUUCACAAGCUUGAGAAAAAGUUGUUGGCGAAAGUUGAGAUACUGAGCAACAUUUGUUAUUCCAACAUAGUGAAGUUGCUAUGUUGCAUUUCCGGCGAAGUUUCGAAGCUUUUGGUAUGCCAGCACAUAGAGAAUCAGACCAUUUCAUGGGAAAAAGAGAAACUCAAUCUCAGGGACGAUUUCAGUUCAUCAUGCUGUCUUAGAUUGGCCAAGAAGGUUGCAAAUUGUUGUUAGAGCUGCUCAAGUGCUAUGCUACAUAUAUCAUGAGUGCCUUACCAAUCAUUAGUUGUGACGUGAAGUCUAGCAAUAUUUGGUCGAAAUCUGAAUUCAAUGCAAAAAUUGUAUAUUUUGAGCUUGCUAAGAUACUAACCAGGCGAGGUAACUGAAGGACCUUACGACUGCUGACAUUGUGCGAGAACUUGCAUGCCUAGUUAGCAUCAUAGCAAGUCCAAAAUUUGAACUUUUUGCAUUGAAUUCAGAGUACAACAAGAUAUUGCUAGACUUCACAUCAUGAUGGAUGAUUGGUGUAAGACACUCAUCCUGCAUGUAGCAUAGCCCUUGUGCAGCUGCAACAACAAUUUGCAACCUUGUUGGCCAACCCAAGACAACUUGGUGAACUGAAUUCAUCCCUGAGAUUCCUAGUUUGUGCAAAGUUUCAGAGGAAAGACUUCACAACGGUGCAACGGAAGGAAACAAGAAUGCUGAGAAACGAGGUGAGGAAAUUCAAGGCAUCUCAUAAUUUGCACAAUGGAUUUAUACCCUUUCAACCAUGUAAACGAUAUGCAACCGUAUCAGCCCUUGUUUUCUCAUGUGUAAGUUUGUUUGUUUGUUUGCAUGGCCAUACUUAUUGUUUGACGAUUGACUGUGACAGCUAAAGCUUUCUCGUAUUCAUUCAAGUUAAGGGUUUUUGUUUUAGAAGUAAUUUCAGAAAGAAGACAGAUUUGCCAUUUAUCAUUGCUUUGGUCUUUUACAUUUGGGGAUGAAAUCAAUGGGUUUUGGAUUGGACUAAAAAAUCCGGUUGCUUUAAAUAUUCGAGGAUUGAGGUUUAAGUUAUUUUUAGUUCGGAGUCUAAUCAAAAUGAUACUUUAAAGGUUUAAUUAAAAGGUUUUAAAAUGAAGAAUCAAUUUAGAAUUUGGGGACAUGAGAUGAAAUUAAUCCAAUCCUAAAUUGCAUGGUGUAAAAGAUUAUGAGCUAUAGCAUCUCUAGCUUCCAUGGAACUCACCGAUGUCAAAUCAACAUCAGGGACCAUCUCAUCAUCAUCAUCAAAGAACUCGGAUCUCAAAUCCGGGUCGAACCCUUCACCCUUCAUUUCACAAAUGUUAUGCAGAACACAACAUGCUCCGACGACGACAGCCAAAUCAGGCAACUUGACGUCGGUCCUAGUCAGCAAACAACGCCACCGCCCUUUCAAUCUCCCAAAAGCUUCCUUAGCAACCCUUUGAAUCUCCCCAAUCUUUUCGUUGAACCCAUGUUGUGUCCAUGUCAAACGAUGUUGCCUGUAAGGGACUAAUACCCAGUCCAUUAAUGGAUACCCCCAGCUCCCCACCACCCAAACUCCGUUCAAUAACCCACAGUUUGCCCUUUGAUACAAAGCUGAUUUUUCCAGCACUUGAUCGUCGUUCAUAGAUCCCGGCCAUCCGAUGCAAACGUCGGUGAAGACUCCCCUGGGAUCCACCACACCUUGUACCGUUACCUGAAAGUGAAGCAAUUCAACAAUUGCGAAAUAAAAUGGUAAAAUUUCACUGUUGGUCUUUCUUAAAAAUUAAGAUUUAAUUUAGGCCCUUUACUGAUUUGAUUUGUAGUAUAUUUUUGUAUUAAGUAUGAUCAAUUUAUAUUUUAUAAUUCAAAACUUUAUUUAACUUUUCAAAUUUCACACCAGAGUCCAGCUUUUCAAUUUUAAUGUAUUAAAAAUGAAAAAUUAAUAAUGCCUUUAAUUAUUCAUGUGGAUGAUAAUAACUCUUAACGUUACCGAAUACGACGUUUUCCGGUUCCCUUCCGUUUGUCUUUCAUUCAAAUAGGCUGCCACGCAUGUUUUCGGCGGUGUGAUCGGUACAUGCGUCGUGUACAUUGAUCCGACGACGUUUGGUAUCCACGAAAUGACUUCGAACUCUUCUUUUAUUUUCCGCAACGAUUUCACGUCCGGCCAUCGUAAAUACUUGGGCAUCAAAACGCUGCAUAUCGCCGAACACACUUCCAGGACCGAUUCACGGCACGCCGAGAUGCCUAAACCGAACCGUUUCGAGACGAGCCGUAACGGUUCGCCCGUGGCUAACUGCCAAACGCAGACCGCCACCCUUUGUUUAACGCUGAUUGCGUUCCGUAACGUGGAGGCGUCUCCUUCGGAGCUGAGCUCGAAGCAAAUGAGCUCGAACGUUGACUUGCUCAUCCUAAACACCUUCUUGAACUCAUCUUCCGGGUAAUCGGGUCUGUUGCACUCAUCCCACCAUGAUGGACCCAACCCAGAUUGCUUAUCGUGGUUGGGUGAUUGGGUUUCCGUCUGGUUCACGGAAGCGCUGGCGACGGAGUCGUAAAAUCCCAGCAUGGUUCGAGUUUUUCUCUUGUGGGUGGACAUCAGAACAGAAUUUUCGUCGUUGGAGGAUUCAUUCAUGUCACUGAGAUCUUCGCCGGCGAACCUCUCUUUUCGUCGCCGCUUACAGUUACCGUUGCCGUCGUUCAUUUUCCAAGGAAAGAAAAAGGAAAAAAAAAGGGUGUUUGAGUAGCAGAGCUGUAACUGUUUAAAUUAGGAAGGACUUGUUAAAUAGCAUCAAAUGAUUGGUUCUUAGAUAUUGUAAAAUGGAAAAAAGAAAUUAGAAAUGAUUAGACAAGAUUUAUAUAUAACUAACAUUGGAAAUGUAGAAAUAAUAUUGGAAGUGAGAUGAUUAGCUGGGGGUUAAAGAGUGUGAAAAGGCGGAUGAGAAGUGAGUGUGAACGCAGAGAUGUUGAAAAGACGUGAUUUUGUCUCAUACGCAUACUAAAAGAGGGAGACAGAGACAAUGGGCUCUACGUAGAAUCAAAUGAAACCUAUUUCCAUUUUUAAAUUAUAAACCCCAUGUGGAUGAAGAUGGUGUGUAGUGACUAGUGAGUAGUGACCAACUUGUUCUUUUCACAAAAUGGGUUAUCCAGAAUAUUAGACCAAGUCUGAGCGAAACAAAAGAAUAUAUCUUUCAACUUUUUUAUUAUAUUUAACUAUUUAUAGUCUCUCAGCGCAUUUAAACUUAUAUUCUUAUAUUUUAGUGAUAAUGUUAAUAUCAAUCAUCACCUACCUAAAAAUCAAUAAUAAUAACGUACACCACAAACAAAACUGUUAUUAUCAAAAUACUCAAGCUUUUUUCUUAAAAAAUAUUAUUGAUAAAAUUAAAAGAGACAAAUACCUUCAUUGAUAAAAUUAAAAAACUAACUUGGUAAGGUGAGGCGCCAAACAUGGCUUAGAGCUUUGCGAAUAGACUAAUAAUGUCAAAGAUAGUGAGAAGCUAGAAAACCUAUGAAAACAUUAAAAAGAAAUAGAUAUGAAAACAUGUGAUGGUUUAAUUUAAUAUUAAAAAAUUAAAAAUAUUUAUAAAAAAUAAAAUUAUUAAAAAUGAUAUAAAUUCAUAAAAAUUAUAAAAAUAUAAUAAAUUUUAACAAAUUAUAAAAAUUACAAAAGUAACAAAGCAUUUUUAAACUUUUAUAAAAAUUAUUAAAAUUGAUAUAAACUUAUAAAUAUAUAUAUAAAAAAAUUAUAAAAACUUCAACUGGACCUGAUCAGUCUAUUGGAUUAAUUAAACCGAAAUCGACAAGGUAUCAGUUCAAAUAAAACCAUUAGACCUAUUGACUUGAGAAUCAAACAGUUGAAACGAUUUUUUUUAUUUAAUUGAAUCGAACGGAUUAAUCGAACUAACAAAUGGUGGCCUUACUAGUUCGACCACCGCUUCGAUUCUAAAAACCUUGGUCAAAACAUUUCUUUCUAACAUAUUAGUUUGAUAAAAAGAAAAGUUAAAAGAUAAGAAGUGGUUCAAUCGCUCGAUUCCCAAGUCAACUGAUUUAAUGUCUUUCAUCAAGCUAGUACCCUUACCAAUUUCGGGCUAACCGGUCCACUUCAAGUUUUUAUGUUUAUUUAUAAUUUUUAUAAAUUUAUAUUAAUUUUAAUUUUUUUAAUAAUUUUUUACAAUUUUUUAAAGUUCUAAUACGUUUUUUUAUUUUAAAUAUUUUAUUAAUUUUAUAACUUUUUAUAAUUUAUUAGAUUUUUUAUAUUUUUGAUAAUUUUUAUAGUUUUUUUAUGAAUUUUUAUUUUUAAUAUUAAAUAUAAUUUUUCUGAUACCUUAUUAUAAUUUUUUUGAUAUCUUUUAUGAAUUUUAUAAUUAAACUAGAAAUUGUUACAUUUCACCAAAUGAUUAUUCCAUCAAUUUAUUUUAACGGCUUAAUUGAUUAUUUUAAUUUACAAAGACUUAAUAAAGGGUGAAUUUAAUUGUGAGGUUUAAUUGAUUUAUUAUUUAUUUUUUAAAAGGAGUUUUUUAACAUAAGCCAAAAGGGGAAAACAAAAAAAAAAGGGGGUGAGCCAGCGUGAACGCAGCCAUUGGUAUCGUUAACAGUUUGCACGUGGUCAGUGGCUUAAUAUUUUAUCAUACGACUGUUAAAUAAAUUCACUAAGCUAAGGAUGUUUAAUGAAGAUUUUGACAUAAUAACUCAUAGUAAUGUAAUAGAUAUAUAUAAAAGUAACAAAUAUGAUGAAAUAAAUACAAUGAAUAUGACUCAAAUUCUUCCCACGAUUCAACUUGUUAUACAAAUUAUUGAAAAGAAGGUAUGAAAAUGAUUACGAAAUUUUGAGACCCCAUGAUUCACCCUACAGCUUUUUACCUCGCAAAUCUAAGAAACAAUGUAUCAUUAGUUUAAUUCCAUCAGUUUCAUAUAUCUAACUUUAAUUACACCUCUCUCUCUCUCUUUUAAUAAUCUCAACACUGGUACUAAAUCUUGCCUUAUGACACAAUCCAUUCUAGUGUGAUAACUACAAAAUCGAACUCAACACUUCAACAUUUUAAUUGUUUUUUACAGCUCUUAUACUAUGAUACACCAAAAUGUGCAAAAAUGUAAUAACAUAUUAGCAAUUUAGGGUCUAGAACGAUACCUAAUUCCUUAGAAGAAAAUAAGUCCCAAGCUGUGUUUUGAUUUUCGGGACUUUGGCCGCGUAACAGUAUAAUUCAUAUUCCCACAGCAGCCUAACUGUCAAUUCAAUCAACAGGGCAGUCAUGUGAACCAACUUAUCAUUUUAUCAGAGCACAUGAAGAUCAAGUAAGAGAUUUUCCAGCCCAUUCGCGUUCCCUUCGUUUUUGCUUGGCUUGCAUCCGGUUGAACUUUUCUUUCCCCUUCUCCAAAAGAGGGUCAACCACCACAUAGUCAUUUGGAUCAUCCUUGCGAGACAUACCAUCCUGCAUCACGGUUCAACAGAACUAUUAAUUACCUCCAUAAAACCUAUGACAGAUAAAACGGGAUUUCGUGAAGUUUCAACUGUGUAGAGCUUUUUCAAUUACGCUUUCCUUUUAGUUUUGGAUGAAGGUUUUGGUGCUGCUCAGAGUAUUAAGUACAAAUAUCAUAUGCAGUAGGCUUUUUUUCUUAAAUGCUUGCAAGAAAUCAAAUGGUUUAUAUGCAAAUGACAGAAAGCCAACCUUGGUAUCAGGAGCAAACUCCAACCGAACUGCUUUCCAGUCAGACAAAUCCUCUUUAUCACCACCUUCAGGCUUACUGCUUGAAGCUGCUGGUUUUGUGGAAAUAGAUUGUUUGAACUUCUCAAGUUUUGCUAAAACCUACGGUUCACAGAAAAAAUAAAAUAAGAAGCUGGAGUUAGUUCCAACAGUGUGGAGAAUGAGAUUUUAAAAUUUAAAAGAAACAAAUUUAAACCUAGUCCUAUCACCAUUUGUGUUUGCCUCUAAUAUCAAUAAAAGGAUUCAUAAGCAAAGAGAAGAUUGCAUAAUGACUUGCUCUAUGCUAAAGAUCAAGUUAAAAGGGAGACUCAAACGUGUCAGAGUUGCAAAUAACAACAUAGAACCAAAAAUUUUGUAACAUACAUCAUCUUCACGUCCUCGAAGUCUACGCUUCUUUUGUUUUUGCAAUAAUCUUCCUCGUUCAGCCUCACUGAACAACUGUAAAUCUGCAUCAGCUUUAGCCAUGCGCUCAGCUUUGGCUUCUGAUCCCAUACCCUUUUUCUUCAGAGACAGCUUUUCUACCCUUGGCUGGUCAUCAUCAGUACUCUCAUCAUUGAAUCUGGUGUAGAUUCAUAGUGCCAAGAAGUUCAUAUAAGCAAAAAAGAAAGAGUAACAAUAGACUCUGUAUAUUGAAUAAGCAGGGGAAGCAGCAGAAAGAGAAGGUGAUAAUGUCAGGAAAAAAAAACAUGAAUAAGAUGGAAUACAGUUUAAGUCAGGGUCAUAAUAAAACCAACACAACAUAGAAAAAUAAAAAAAACCACUUAAACAACAAAGGAAGAUUAAUGGAAGCAUAGCCAUUCAGUUGACACCUGACAGACUUCAGUAACUUUAGUGUACUAGAAACUUUAGACAGGUCAUACAUGUUGAAUAUAAGUGUGAUAGUUAGUAAACAUGUGUACUCUACAAGAAACGCUUUGAGAGAUUAAUUAAGUUUCAAUUUGGUUUUUCUUUCAAUAGAAAGUGGGAAAAAAAACCUUCAGAUGUUUACCUUCGCGCAGAAAUUUUAUUGUCAUUUGGUUUAGAGCUCCCUGCACAUAGGUUCCAGAAGUCAAGAUCAACUGUAGGGCAAGCACUAACUAACAAAUAAACCAGAUAGAAUAAAGGUUGUGGACUAGAAAGAAUAGUUUCUCUGAUAAUAGGGCAAUUUCCAUCUAUUUAAUAUUGACAAUUUGAUAAAAACCUUGGGCAAAUUCUAACUUCUAAACCCUAAACCAAGCGCAUCAUAUCGCUAAACAAACAAUUGGAAUUUCAAGGUUUAGAUUAAUAAUGCUCUUUCCUUACGAUGUUACAGAUAAUUCUAAUUGCCCAAGCAACUGAAGUGAAUAAGCAAAUCAUUUCCAUGACCUAAGCAAGGAAUAAAUCUUAUAACGUCUAAAGCUCUUAUGGUUGCAGGAAUAUCCUUUUGCCCAACAUUACUUCUCCAACAUGUUAUAACAAUAGCAAUACUAAAUUAACCAUGUGCGAAACCAGUUUUCUUUUACAUUUUCCAUGAUGGUGAUGGCUUUAAACACUUCUCCAAUUGUCUCUUCAAGAUAUCUAAAAUUGUUUCGAAAUUUCAUUUUACAUCAUAAGGUACAUUGCCUAAUUUCAUGUGCUCACACACUAAUGACACAAAAAUGUGUGAAAUAAACUACUAUAUAACAGUCUAUCUUAUUGUGAAGAUUUCCAAUGAUCAUUACAGGACCUUGAAAUGUAGUGCAAGGAAUGGCCUUAGUUUCCUGUAACUUUGUUCCUCUUUAGGAGAGAUUUUUAAGAUUGAGCUGAAAAAGCCUAGUUUUAUGAGAAAAAGCACUGUAAUUAGUAGUUCCCAAGACUUCAAGCUUCUGUCUAAAUCCAAAAGAUGAAAGAGUUCCAUAGUGAAUGAUUACCGUUUUGCAUCUUUUGCUUAGAUGGGAGAUUUACAAGCUCCUUAUGUCUGUUUAGUAUUUGACGACGCAUUCGAGCAUCAAAACUAGCCUCAUCAUCAUCAUCACUAUGAUCAACAGAAUCAGACAACUCGGCUUCUGCAUCUUUUUUAUCUCCUUCUCUUCUUGAUCUUAGUGCUCCCCUCACGGACAAUUGCAAAUCCUUAGUAGCUUUGGCAUCAGAUGGAUCCUGUAUCAUGUAGUUGCAUUAAGAAUACGGUCGCAAUAUAAAUUAAAUGCUCAUCAUACUCUGCAAGUCAGCAUAAUUAUAUGACUUGCUAUGCUCAUCAUUAAGGCUUUGUUCUCAUUGCUUAUCGAAAGUGCUUUUGGAGUUAUAAGCAAUGCUAAACAAAUAACUUUUGAAGUCAAAAGUGCUCUUGAAUCCAAAAGAAAAAGCACUUUUUUUAGCUUUUGCUUUUGGGAAAGGCACUUUUGGAGCCAAAUGACAUUUGUAGCCCUUAUUUAUAGUCCAAUGUAUUUUAUGUAAUAUUUAUAUUGGGUAUACAAUUAUUUUCCUAUUGAAGUUUAUUUCAAAUAUAUAACAUCAUAUAUUUAUAUUUAUAUUUAUAAUGAUUAUAUGUUAAUAAUAUUUAAAAUAUAGAUUACAAAUUCAAAUUAAAAUUUACAAAUAAUUACUAUUAAUUGCUUACAAAUAUUUAAAUUUUAUAUUUCAUAUAUCAAAAUAUUAAUAAUGAAUUACAAUAAAUAUUCUUAUUAAAACAUCAUAAUAUUAACAAAUUUGAAUAUUAUUUAAAAGCAUAUUUUUACUUCACAACAUCAUGUCUAAAAUGAACAUUUUAUUACUCAAAAGCACUUUUUGACAGUAAUAUUAAACGCUUAAAUCUUAAACUAAACUUUUCAAAAGCAUUUUUCUUAAGCAUUUUCUCACAGCCCUUUUCAAAAGCAAUGAGAAACUAGCUCUAUGUGGUUAGGAAACCAAUUUUGAAGUUCUUCCCCAGACAACCAUAGUAACAUUGCACUAAGUCAAAUCGUUGGUCAGGAAAUGAUUGGAAGAAGAAUUUCUGUGAAUAGGAAAACUAUGCAUCAAUUAACUUGGCCUAAGCAUGGUUUCAAUAUCUAUCCAAGUAUUUGAAAAAGGAGAGGCAAAAACAAAUAAAGAUAGAUUGGGAUCUUACUUGUUCUUUAUCUGGAACAUCUUGCUUUAGGAGACGGGGAUCAUCCAAUACGUCAUGACUACUCUUAAUCUUUAGCUUUACUGCUGCUAAUUCUUUCUCUUCUUCUUCAGCUUCUUCCCCAAAUGACAGCAAGUUCAGCUUUCUGCAUUCUCCAAGCAGAACAUACAAGUUAAGCAAUAAGAAUGCCUUAAUCGUGCUCAAAAAAGUGUUCGAUUAUGGAAGAAGGCUUACUUAACAGCUUUCUUCUUUGAGUCUUUGUUUUCAGCCUCAGCUGCAGGCUGGAUUGAAGGCCUCGAAGUUACUCUUGGAACUAUAUCUUCAAAAGGGUUCCACAAUACCUAAAACAGCAUCGCAAAGCAUAAAAAAAACUGGUUGAUAGGCAGAUAUAAUUCUCUUAAAAUAUAAUAAAAGCUAUGAACAAUAAACUUCUUACAACAGGCCAUAGCAAUCUAAUCAAUUAUUUACUUAAAUAAAAAUAUAAAAAGGAAAACCAACCUCGACAGAUUUGAUUCUCGGAGGAGGAUCCAAAGGUCGGUCAUCCUGAUCAGUGUCGACCUCACCUAUCCUCAGAAGAUUGAAAAUAGAGUCUCCAGUAACCUACCAAACCAAUAAUCAGUUCUAGUAAGCAUUCAAGUAUGGAUUACAAUAUAAAAAAAAUUAUCUAGAAUUGAAUCACUUGUUACCUUUCCAAAAAUAGUGUUUUUUCGAUCAAGCCAUUCACAUUUAUCCAAAGAUAUAAAGAACUGACUCCCAUUGGAAUGCGGGGUACCAGCAUUGGCACAAGCAACGAUACCUCUAUGGUUAAACCUUAAACGCGAAUGGAACUCGUCCGGAAACACACUCCCGUAAAUACUUUCUCCACCUAAAAAAAAGAACCAAAUUCAUUACUAACGUUUUGACUAACCCUAACCCUAGCCCAAACUAAUUAGAAAAACGGCUAGAAUAAACAAAAAUAAAAGAAGAGAAACGGGUUACCGGUGCCGCAACCGGUGGGAUCACCGCCUUGGACGAGGAAUCCCUUGAUAAUGCGGUGGAAGGUUGUGCUGUCAAAAUAACCUUCCAAGCAAAGCUGCACGAAGUUCCGAACGGCUUUCGGUGCUUCUUUAGGCCAAAGCUCGAUGUCGAGCGGGCCAUACGUCGUGUUGAUUAUCACUUUUCCCUUCGUCGGUGGUUCUAAAACGUACACCGUCGACAUCUUCUCUUAACAGGGUUCUCAAUUCGGCGUCGAAUUUUCUAUGUGGAAAUUGGGUUUUUUCUGGAUGCGGGUUCUGGGUUCAGUUUUGGAAUUUGAGUGGAGACAGGGAACUGGUUAAGCGACGUCGGUUUGGUCCUUACGCAUAUUUUUCGGCUUUUUUUAAUAAAACUAGGCCAAAAAUUUUAAUUAAUUAUGUAAAUGACCUAAUUUUAAUAAAAUAUGUAAAUAACCUAAAAUCUAGAGUGCAAGUUGGUGGAGUUAAAAUGUUUAUCGCCACUAACAUACCACGUCAGUAUCAGAAUAAAAAAAAUUAAUUUUUUGAUGGAGUCAUGUAAAAUGACACUACUUAUACAAAUAUUAGAGAAAUAUUACAAUUUUUAAAAAUAUGAAGGGCUUUAAAUAAAUUUUCUAUUUUCUAGCAUAGCCAAAUAUUUCCCGCCACCUUUUUGCCCUUGUUCUAUUUUUUAUUUGUUUUUUAUAAUAUUUUAAAUUUAUAUUUUUUUUGUGGAGUCAUUCUAAAUGAUCCACCAGUUCAUUUAAACUUUUUUAAAAUUAUUUUUUUAUAUUUAAAAUUUUAAAAAUAAUAUUUUAUUUGGUGGAGCAUUCUUUUUGGUGUGACCAAAUUGGUAUAUAUAAGCCUUAAUAACACAUCAAUCUGAGUUGAAGGAAAAAAAAUUACUUAUACUUUGUUAGAGGAUGAAUGUAAGAGAUAUGAGAAGCAUUUUUUUUAUUUAUUUGUGUUUUUUUUAAUUUGAAGGGAUCUUUUGUUUAACGAUAAUUCGGUAGAGCUUUAACACAGGUAAAUUUAAUAGUUAUUUUCUGACCAACGAGUAAGUUUGAAGGUUAUGCAACCAAUUUGAUUCAAAUUGGUUAUGCAACCAACGGGUGGAUUAUUUGGAAUUCUCUAGGUUAAUGGGAUGUUUGAAGGUUAUAAGGAAUUCCAAGUCGAACCGCAAUGGUGAAAUCAUCAAUGUCAGCAGCAUUCAAGCUACAAUUUAAUAGCAUCAAGAAAGUCGUUUUUGUUGCGGUAAGCAAAUUACUUUUCAAUUUGUAAGAUAGAAUGAUGUCGGUUUUGAACAAAAUUGUUUAAUUAUGUUUUGUUUGUAAGGCGUAAUUUUGUCAGUCUUAAAAAAAUUCAUUUACUUUUUUUUUAGUAUUGAGAAAAUUGUUCGUGUUAUAAAAUGAUAUAUUGUAAGUUAGGUGAAACUAUUUAGAAUGUUUGAAAUGUAAAAUUAUAUUUUGUAAAAAAUAUAUUAUUUGAAUAAUGUAAAUUGAUCGUUAUUUUGUGAAAUAUAAUCUUCAUGUAAAUAAUUUAUGUAAUGUGAAAUCAAAAAAAUUAAAAGGACAUUUUUAAAGAAAGAAUUAUAACGGACAUUUUUAAUAGAAAUAAAAAAACGGAUGACUAAAAUAUAAAGAAAGUUUGAAAAAAAAAGAGAAAAAAAAUGUGACCGUUGAAUUGAUUGAAAAAAAAGGGAAAGAAUUUAUUUAUAAAAAAAUAACUAUGACUUUUUUAAAAAUAAUAAUAAAAAAAGAUUAAAAGUAAAUAUAAUGACUGGUGACAUUGCAUCAAUUGCAUCAACGAUAUCAACAAUGUAACUGGUCAACAAGUUAAUUAAUAUUAGUUUAAAGAAGAAAAAUAAAUAAAGGGGAAGAGAUGAGGCCAACGUCUCUUUAAAAAGGAAGGAAUGUGGGGCUUUGGUCCUCCCUAGAGGUGUUCAUGGGCCGGGCGGCCCGGUUUGGCUCGACGGUCCGCUCGAAAUAUGAGAGGAUUCAGGUAAAAAUAUAGGCUCGAAAUAUGAGUUUGGGCAAAAAACGAUGCCCGUUUUAAAAACGGGCCGGGCAUUGGGCACAACUUUUUUAGCCCGGGCCUGGCCCGGCCCGGCUAUAUAUAAUAAAUAUAUUUUUUAAUUUUUUUAAUUUUAAAAUACAUUUCCCAUUUCCCAUUUCCCAUUUCCCAUUUCCCAUUUCCCCUCUUCCACGACCCUCGUCCCUUCUUUCCCAAUUAGAAAAUCAAUCUUCACCUCCUCCAAUCCACCUCCACCGAUCCAUCUCCGGUCCUCCACGGCUCCACCCAUUUCCAGAAUCAGAGGUUAGAGCGGUGCUUCUACGUCUUCUACCUU
rnacentral:lncRNA from 1 species